AAGGCUUGGAGCACAAAUAAGCCAUGUCAAAUUCAACAAUUUACCACAUCCAUCUAUUCUGACAUCACAAAGGUUGUUCAAGCAUUGGUGCCUUGGGAAUUUUGAGUAGACCACCACUUCCUUUUCAAAAUUGAUUUUCACAUCUUGCAAUUCAACACAAUUUGUAAUAUGGAGUGUCUCUAUAUAAAGGGAUAGUUGGAGCAGGUUCAUACGCUCAGAAAAUAAUAGUAGGAAUCUUGUGGAUCUUUGCAACUUGUGGGAGUUCAAUAAUGUUUGGAUGGAUGAUACACUUGUAAGGUGGAUAUAUAUAUCAUCAAUGUGUUCCAACUGCUCUAACUCUUCUAAUAACCUUCUUUCAUCAUCUCCUGUAAAGUUUGACCUUACAAGCGUGCUAUACAUGCUGAACAAUUGCAAAGAGGAAAGACUCGAUACAAUUUGAGAUGGAAGUGACACAAGAAAAUACAUAUCAUUCAAUAUCAAGCACCUUAAUCUUUUCAAAUUCUUGAACUCCACAGGUAAGUAUUCUAUAUCGGUCGCCGACAAAUUAAGAUAUUGCAAGGUAACUAAGUUUCCAAUCUCCACAGGUAACACUUUAAGUUCAAAAUUGUUUGACAAGUCCAAAACUCUUAUAACAGGCAUGUUUGUAAAUAAUCUAUUUGGAAAUGACUCAAUAUACUCACAUGAUGUCAAAAAGGUCUCCAUAAUAGGGAAAUAUGGUGGUUCCCUAAGUUCUUCAAUGUUGGUAUUCCACAAUGAUAUCCUCUGUGUCUCUUUCCAUUUUUCAACUUCUGAGCUCUGAUCGAUUCAACUCCAUCUUUUACCACAAAUUUGUUCUUCUUCUUCCCGUUUUUGCGGGCCAACCACAAAGCCAUCUCACGAAUAACAUCAUGCAUCUUCAAAUAUUUUUCUUUUACGUAAAAUCGAGAUCUGCCAUUCUCCAAUAGACAUGCAAGCUGUAAACUUUUAAUAACUUCUUCUCCUUGAUUUCUUGCUUCUUGUAAGUUGUCAUAUUCAUCCAGAAAACCCUCCCCGAUCCAAAGUUGUAUAAGAUUUCGUUGAGAGAUUUCAUAAUCCUCCGGAAAUAAAGAGCAAUAUAGGAAACACGAUUUUUUGGCUUCAUCGGGUAGGCUAUCAUAACUGAUUGCUAAUACUCGAAACAAAUCCUCCUCCGUACCUGGAAACUUUGCAGGAGAAUUCUUCAACAUUUCUAUUUUUUUCUCCCAUUCCUCGGGUGCUUUUGCUCCCGCCAUUGCUCGCCCUGUGGUGAUGAGGGCAAGUGGUAAGCCGUCACACUCUUUGGCAACCAUCUCCGCCAGCUUUGGUAUAUCUGGAUGAGAACUUAUGGUGUCUGCUCCUACCUUGGUCUGAAACAGAGCAAAAGCUUCCUCCCAUGGGAGGCAAUUCACUUCAAUGCUCUUGGUAGAUUCCAUCUUUUGGCACACUUGUUUAGAUCGCGUUGUAAAUACCAUCUUCAACUUAUCUUGAUGAUUCAGAGGAGGAAUACCAACUUUGGAUAGAUCCAGCCGCUCCCAUAUGUCAUCUAACAAAAGCACAAAUUUCUUUGUCUUCAGGACAUUGAAUAUUUCUUCUGCCCUUUCAUCCUCACUCCUAUCUUCCCAUUUAUCUUUCCCAAUCUCCAAUUUAUUGAAAAGAACUUGCUGAACUUUUUCCACAUUGGCUGGUCUGGACACAGUCACCCAAAUCACUGCAUCAAAUUCAAGCCUGGUUUUGAGGAGCUCAUUGUUGAUCCUGGUCAAGAGGGUGGUUUUGCCCACACCCCCCAUUCCAUAUAAUCCGAUACUGCUUACCUGCUCUCCAUCAUCUUGGAGCCAUUUCCAGACCUUCCCAAACAACAAAUCUUGGCCCACAGUCUUGUCCAGAGGCCUCUCGAUCACGGGAGGACUAGGGAAAGGUUCAGCAACUACACUGAAAUUUGAGCCCUCCGUCUUCUUUACCGUCACAGCAUCCAUCUUUUCAAGUACCAUCUUGCCAAGCUUGUAGCUAGCGCCACAGUUUUUAGGACAACAGGUUCCGAGACAUUUCUUCUGGAUUUCUUCAUCACCUUUGGCCAAUAUUUCCUUCACUUGUUCUUCCAUGGCUUCUACAUUGCGGAGCCAGCCAUCGACUACAUGAGUACGCUUCUUCUGAAGUUUCUCUUCACGUUCCACCCUUUCCUUCACAUCUUUGUAUAGGUUCUUGAGUUCCCCCAUUGCAGUUCUCAAAGAGUUGAGAUUUUGUGGGAGAUGACGGAUGUAAACAGCACGCUUGGCAGUGCAAUCCCACAAGCGAGUAGCGACAUCCAGGAUUGGGCUCACACAAUCCAUGGGGAAAACAAGGACUGGGAUUCAAAGCCAAGAAGAACUUAAUCAGAACAAGAAAACAGGUUGGGGAGGAAAAGACUCAGCAAUCAAUGUCAAUGGGUGAGAUUGUGGUUGGAAGAUUGAAUGGUUUAAAAAAUUAAUGUACUGGCUACAUAAGGGUCCACCACUACAUAAUACCAAUAAAAAAUGUCAUUCUUUUCCACGUACAGACUGUGUAAAGAUGAAUAAAAGACUCCACCACUGGUGAUACAUAGACUAGGAUAAAAAAUUAAUAAACUGAAUACAUAAUGCCAAUAAAUCAUCGUCUUCUAUGUGCAGGCUGUCAAGCACUAUCAAGAUUAAUAAAAGACUCCACCAUUUGUGAUACAUAGAGAAUGGUAUAAAAAAUUAAUAAACUGAAUACAUAAUGACAAUAGAUAAUGUCACACUCUUCCAUGUACAGACUGUCAAGCUCUGUAACAAUUAAUAUAAGACAGUAUGCAUGUUAGAGUACUUAUUUAUUUAGAAGUUUUAUUUAGUUACUAUUUUUCUAGAGUAUGGGUAAGGUUGUAUUUUUUUCCUCUUAUUAUAUUUAUUUAAAUUUUAAUGGUAUUUUAUUUUAUUUAAAAAACUGUUCUAGGAAAUCCUAAAUUUUUUUUUUCUCUUUAAAUCUUUUGGAUUUCACAUGGUAUCAUGGCAAAAUUGAUUUUUUUAAUAAGACUUGAUUUAUAAUUUCAUAGAAAAGAGUUUAAUUAAUCUCAUACACUUGCAAACAAAGUUUAUUCAUAUUCGUUUGAUCGUGAAAUUCUCUUUUGUCGUAUUUAAUCAUGGGAUAUCAUAAUGGAUGAUCGCAUCAUUUUUUUUUUUCUUAUUUGAUCCAUUAUUGAAAUAGCUUUUCUAGUUGUAUUUUCAACUACUCUACCCAUUUCAUAAAAUAUUCUUCCUGCUUUAACUACGAUUGUCCACUAUUCAGGAGAUCCUUUCCUCGAACCCAUACAUCUUUCCAUAGGUUGGAUGGUGAUUGUUGAUUGAUAUAUUAUGAUAAAAUUCAUUCAUUCAUUCAUUCAUUUUCUUUUAAUUUCUAUGAGGGGAUGAAAUAUAUUUAAACUCAAACUUAUGUUUCAUAUAUUAUGCUUAAUUUUUUUUCCUUUUUCUUUAUUUCUCAUCUUUUUAUUUUUUUCAUGUCUUUCAGGAUCCCAAAAGCAACUGUGUAUUAAUCGUAAAUCAGUGGAUAUAUAGCAAUAUAAUGGUUAUAAUAUAUUUACAUUAAUUAUGAGAAACUUCAAUGAUGUUUGUUUUUUUAUUGAACAGGAAAAGUUAAAAUAUUUUAUUUUUUUAUUUAGUUAAAAGUAAUUUGCUGAUAUCAAUUAAUAUAAUUAAAAUGAACUUGUUAUUCAUAGGUCCAAUCUAAUUAUAUUGGACGAUAUCAAUAGAUUACUAUUAAUGAAAAAACCAAAUACUUUGACUUUUUUUAUUCAAUCAAAAAACAAAUAUCACUUUCUAAAUUAUAUUUGGUUUAGAAAGGUAUUAAGAAAAGAAAAAAUAUUAAGAAAAAUAAUUUCUUCAUGAAUGGUUGUAAACUGAAAAAAAAAAAUCAAAUAUAAUUAAAAUUAAUAAGAAAUUUAUAUAUUUUAAAAUUAUUUAAUUUUAUAUAAAAAAUUUAAAAUAACAUAUAAAAAAUAAUUUAUUGACUUUAAAUUUAUUUUUUUAUUUUCCUUCAUUUUUUCUUUUCCUCUAUUUUUUCUACCUUUUUACUUUUUUUUUUUUGAUAUUUUCUCUCAAUUUUUUCCAAAAUAAAAAAUAGUCAUAAUUUUUUGUUAUCCCAAAUUUGGUCAAUUAUGAUCCAAUACUGUGAAACCAAAAUUUGCAUAUGGUGGGAGGAUGACAUAUAAGCUUCACUAGUUACUUCAUCCACAUAUAAAAAUUAUUAAAAAAAUUAAUUGAAUAUAACUUAUCAAUUUUUGUGGAAAUGAAUAGCUAAACUGACGAUCCAAUAAGGGUUUUAGAAGGAUAUAGAAAUUUCUAAUAAACAUCCUUCAUUUUUCAUAAUAUUACGAGCAUGCCACUAAAAUUGUCAAGAAGUAAAUUCAGCAUUAAAUUCCAAAAAAAAAAAAAAAAGGAGGUCAAUCAGUAUUGGAACUACAAGACCCAAUGCUGAUGGGAUAAAUACAAACAAUACACAACCAGGUUUUAUCCCCUCUUAUGAGAACCUAAUAGGAAUCAAUCCAAUAGAGAAGCAAGAAUUCACUCAAUCAACAAGCAUAUGAAUACCAAUAAUUUUAGCAUGGAAAACCUUCUCCAAUAUGAGAAGUAAAAACCACGGGACCCUUAGGCCACUUAAAAACUCCACUAAUAUAAUUAAUGGGUUACACAAUUCUCUCUAGAUAAAACUAAAGGCAUACAUCCACCAUAUCUUAAGACAAAUUGAUCUUGACAAUUUCAACAACUUUGCAUAAAAACAAUGGAGAGAUCUCACCAAACACACCACUAUUCUCGAACUGAAAGAUAACUUUUUCGAACUCCAAAUCCAAUCUCCACCGUUAGAAUGAAGAUCAAUGAGUCACGAAUGUGUUCUCCAAAAAUCGGCUCAAUCGAACUACAUAUUAACCUUGAUUGGAGUUCAUGAUCAAAACUGUCCGGAUAGAAAACACAUCAAAAUGGAGGCUCUGUUCUCGGACAGAAAGAUGACUUUUUAGAUCUCCAAAUCCAAUCUCCACCGUUCAGAAUGAAAAUCAAUGAGUCACGAACCUCUCCUCCAAAUUUCAAGUCAAUCGGCCCACAGAAAAAGCGGGAUCGGACAUUUGAUGAAAUCUGGGCAGUGAAGAAAAAACUUGAAUUUUUCUCUCUAACUUCAAAAAUGGUGGUUCUCUCUUUCUCUUUCUUUUCUCCUACCUCUGGUGGCUGCAAAAAAUUAGAAGACGAAGAAGAAGAGGGAUUAUUUUUCUAGCCCUUUUAUAUAAAGGCCUAAGAGGCCUUAAAUUUUGGGCUCUUAAUUUGGGCCUUCCACAUGAGGAAAAAAACCUAGCAAAUCUCCCCUUUUCUGAUUAUGUGGAGGGACUCGCCAUCCUGGCGAUUGAACAACAAACUUCAAGCUUCUCCCUUGGUAAGGACUUCGUUAACAUAUCUGAGCCAUUGUGAUCGGUAUGUAUCUUCUCAAGUUCAAAUAAGUUGUCAUUGAGAGCAUCUCUCAUCCAAUGAUACCUCACAUCAAUGUGCUUCGAUCUUGCAUGAAAAGUAGAAUUCUUACUAAGGUGAAUGGCGCUCUGGUUAUCACAGUAUACGACAUAACACUGCUGCUUAAACUCGAGCUCAUGUAUGAAACGCUUCAUCCACAACGACUCUUUACAUGCUUCUGCUGUUGCAAUGUACUCUGUCUCUCUUGUAGAAAGUGCAACACAUUUCUGUAGUCUUGAUUGCCAAGAUAUAACACCUCCUGAGAAUGUCAUCAAAUAGCCUGAAGUAGACCUUCUAUUAUCUACAUCCAUUGCCAUAUGUGAAUUAGUGUAGCAAACAAGUACUAGUUUCCCAUUUCCAAAAGUGAGUUUCAACUUGGAAGUGCCCCGCAAAUAUCUCAUAAUCCACUUGACUGCCUCCCACUGUAGUCUUCCUGGAUUAGAUAGAAAGCGGCUAACAAUAGCAACUGCAUAAGCUAUGUCUGGUCUAGGACAUACCAUGACAUACAUCAAACUUCCUAUUGAUGAGGCAUACGGAACUCUUCUCAUGUCUUCCUUCUCUUUAUCUGUAGAAGGGUUAUGUUGUUGCUUAGCUUAAAGUGACUAGCUAGAGGAGAACUAACCACUUUAGCUUUGCUCAUGUUAAAUCUUCCAAGCACUUUUUCAAUAUAUUGCUCUUGUGACAUAUACAGCUUCUUGGAUGCUUUAUCUCGCUCAAUUCUAAUACCAAGAAUUUUCUUUACUGGCCCCAAAUCCUUCAUGGAAAAGGAUUUGCUUAACUACUUUUUCAGCUUAUCAAUUCUUAAAACAUUUCUGCCAACAAUCAAGAUAUCAUCAACAUAGAGCAACAAUAUAACAAAAUCAUCAUUAGAGAAUUUCUGCACAAAUACACAAUGGUCAGAAGUAGUUUUUCUGUAGCCUUGCUCUCCCAUAACUGAUUCAAACUUCUUAUACCACUGCUUUGGUGCCUGCUUUAAGCCAUAAAUACUUUUCUUUAAUUUACACACAUAAUCCUCUUUUCCUUUUAUUAUGAAACCCUCUGACUGUUCCAUAUAAAUUUCUUUGUCUAAAUCACCAUGGAGAAAUGCAUUCUUAACAUCCAUCUGCUCAAUCUCCAAAUCAAGACUAGUUGCCAAGCCUAAAACUACACGAAUAGACAACAUCUUAACAAUAGGAGAAAAAAUCUCAUCAAGCUUACCUGUGGAGAUUAAAUUCAUGCGGAUAUUUGGAAUGUGUUUGACAUUAUUCAAAAUCAACAUAGUACCAUUUCUAGUCUCCAAACACACAUCUCCCAUACCAAUGGCUUUAGCUGAGCCAUCAUUACCCAUCCUAACACUUCCAAAGUCACUAGAUGUGUAGGAUGUAAAGAAAUCUUUCCGAGGUGUAGCAUGGAUUGAGGCACCGCUAUCAAUCACCCAACUAGUCUCCUGGCAAGCAAAAUUAACAACAUCACUAUCAUAAACAAUAAGGAAAUCUGAAGUGGUAGUGGCAACUCGAUCAUCUUCAUCAUCAUUGUCAUUCUUCUUGUCCUUCACUUUCCCUUGUUUCAUAUCUCUCUUCAAUUGGCGACAAUACUUUCUUAUAUGGCCUUUUAAAUGGCAAUAAUGACACUCAACAUUGGAAAACUUGUUAGUCUUGCUUUUGCUGCUGUUUCUAUUCUUCAGACCUCUACUUUUACUCCUCCCUUUCUUUUCAGUAACUAGGACAUCUGACUAUGAAGAAGAACCCUAUGACUUUCUUCUCAUCUCUUCAUUCAGAACACAACUCUUAACCAAAUCCAUAUUCAUAGUACCAUCCGGGGUUAAGUUAGACAAGGAAGUUCUAAAUGUCUCCCACAAGUCCGGCAAUGUACCAAGAAGCCACAACCCUUGCACUUCUUCCUCAAACUUGAUAUUCAUUCCAGCCAACUGAUUAAUAAUACCUUGGAAUGUAUUCAAGUGAUCUGUCAUAGGAGUUCCAUCUUGAUACUUCAAGCUAAUCAUCUUCUUGAUCAUAAACAACUUAUUAUUACCAGUCUUUCGAGCAUAUAACUGUUCGAGCUUGUUCCAUAAACUAUGUGCAUUUUUCUCUUCACUAACAUAAUUGAGAACAUUAUCAUCUAUUUACUGUUUGAUAUAACCACAAACCUGCCGAUAAAGUAAAUUCCAUUCUGCAUCAGUUUUAUUUUCUAGUUUUUCAGAAGCAAACACAGGCAAAUAAUAAUCCUUCACAUACAAUAAGUCUUCCAUCUUUCCUUUCCAAACAUGAUAAUUGGAGUCAUUCAGGGUAAUCAUUCUACUUAUAUUGCUUUCCAUUGUUCUACACAAGACACAGAUUAUAUUGAACUUGGCUUUGAUACCACUUUGAUGGGGUAAAUACAAACAAUAAACAACUAGGUUUUAUUCCCUCUUGUGAGAACCUAAUAGGAAUUAAUCAAGUAGAGAAGCAAAAAUUCACCCAAUCAACAAGCAUAUGAACACUAAUAAUUUUAGCGUGGAAAACCUUCUCCAAUAUGAGAAGUAAAAACCACGGGACCCUUAGGCCACUUAAAAACUCCACUAAUAUAAUUAAUGGGUUACACAAUUCUCUCUAGAUAAAACUAGAGGCAUACAUAACCAUAUCUCAAGACAAAUUGAUCUUGGCAAUUUCAACAACUUUGCAUAAAAACAAUGGAGAGAUCUCACCAAACAUACCACUGUUCUCGGACUGAAAGAUAACUUUUUUGAACUCCAAAUCCAAUUUUCACCGUUCAGAAUGAAGAUCAAUGAGUUACGAAUGUGUUCUCCAAAAAUCGACUCAAUUGAACCACGGAUUAACCUUGAUUGGAGUUCAUGAUCAAAACUGUCCGGAUAGAAAAUGCAUCAAAAUGGAGGCUCUGUUCUUGGACUGAAAGACGACUUUUCGGAUCUCCAAAUCCGAUCUUCACCGUUCAGAAUGAAGAUCAAUGAGUCAGGAACCUUUCCUCCAAAUUUCAGGUCGAUCGGCCCACAGAUGAAGCGGGAUCGGGCCUUUGAUGAAAUAUGGGCAGUGAAGAAAAAAAUUGAAUUUUUCUCUCUAACUUCAAAAAUGGUGGUUCUCUCUUUCUCUCUCUUUUCUCCUACCUCUAGUGGCUGCAAAAAAUUAGAAGAAGAAGAAGAAAAGGGAUUUUUUUUUCUAGCCCUUUUAUAUAAAGGCCUAAGAGGCCUUAAAUUUUGGGUUCUUAAUUUGGGCCUUCCACAUGAGGAAAAAAAACCCAACAAAUGCCUGUCCCAAAACUAAGAACAACUAAGCCUAACCUUGGACUGAAGGCAGCAAUGCUCUUUCUUCUACUUUGAAUUGCUCCCAUCAAGUGCUGGAAGAGACCCGGAAAGAACCUCAGCUGCCAACUCCAAAUUCCUCUGUUAUGAUCAAUGGAGGCACCAGCCUCACAACAUUCCCCUUUCUAGUGGUGAGCACUAGGAAGCCGGCUUCUCGAUAGGCAUCCACUAGCGGCGAGGCCUAGACGUCAAGCUCAAUCCCAACAAUGAGCCCAAGCCCACGUACUUCUUUCACAUGUGGGUUAUGUCCCAACUUUUGGGUUAAAAUUUGCUUCAAGUGUUGGCCCUUCUUGGCGGCGCUAGCUAAGAAGCUGGGUUCUGAGAAUUUUUCAAGGACAGCAAGAGCAGCGUUGCAGAUAAGGGGGCUGCCGGAAAAAGUGCUUCCAUGGUCACCGAAGUUUAUGGCAGAAGCAACUCGUUCGGUGACUAGAACAGCACCGAUAGGUAAGCCUCCAGCAAGAGGCUUGGCAAGUGUCAUUAUGUCAGGGAAUACACCAUAGGACUCAUGAGCCCAGAGGUGGCCUGUUCGGCCUAGACCACAUUGAACCUAUAGAACAGGAUCAGAACAUGAUCAAGAUAGAAAAAUUGAACAAAUAAUUAGAGGACAAGAAGUAUGAAUUGAUGGGAUAAACACAAACAAUGCACAACCAGAUUUUAUCUCCUAUUGUGAGAACCUAAUAGGAAUUAAUCAAAUAGAGUAACAAGAAUUCACCAAAUCAACAAGUAUGUGAACAUCAACAAGUAUAUGAACACCAACAAUUUUUAACGUGGACAACCUUCUCCAAUGUGAGAAGUAAAAACCACAGGAUCCUUAGGCCACUUAAAAACUCCACUAAUAUAAUCGAUGAGUUACACUAUUCUCUCUAGAUAAAACUAGAGGCAUACAUAAACCAUAUUUCAAGACAAAUUAAUCUUGGCAAUUUCAACAACUUGACAUAAAGACAAUGGAGAAAUCUCACCAAACAUAGUUAUUAUUCUUGGACUGAAAUAUAAUUGUUUCGAACUCCAAAUCCAAUCUCCACCGUUCAGAAUGAAGAUCAAUGAGUUUUGAACGUGUUCACCAAAAAUCAGCUCAAUCGAACCAUGAAUUAACCUUGAUCGGAGCUUAUGAUAAAAAAACGUCCGGAUAGAAAACUCACCAAAAUAGAGGCUCUAUUCUCGAAUUGAAAGAAGACUGUUCGGAACUCCAAAUCCGAUCUCCACUGUUCAAAUUGAAGAUCAAUGAGUCACGAACCUCUCCAAAUUUCAAGUUGAUCGCCCCACAGACAAAGCGGGAUUAGACCUUUGAUGAAAUUUGGACAGUGAAGAAAAACUAAGUUUUUCUCUCUAACUUCAAAAAUGAUGGUUCUUCCUUUCUCUCUCUUUUCUCCUUCUACUUUUUUUUUUCUUUUUACCUCCGGUGGCUGCAAAAAAUUGGAAGAAGAAGAAGAAGAAGAGGGAUUCUUCUUCUAACCCUUUUAUAUAAAGGCCGAAGAGGCCUUAAAUUUUAGGUUCUUAAUUUGGGCCUUCCACAUGAGGAAAAACCCAACAUGAAUUUGGUUUAAAACUGAAGGCUGUUGGAGCGACAAACAAAAUGAAAUAGAGUAUUCACACAGAAUAAAUCUCAAAUGCAGUCUCAUCACCUUUGGACACUUCUGCUUUUCAGAGACAAAAUCCUCUACUGUUUUUCAUUCUAGUUGGGAUUCAGCAAACAAUGCAGUGUGCUUUUAUGUAUUAAUUCCCUAACUGCAUAAUAAAUGGAAACUGGAUUCUGACAUCAACUUGUUUUUUAUUUCAAAUCAUAUUUGGUUUGGGAAUUGGAGUUAGGAAGAAAAAAACACCUUCACCUCACUCAUUUAAACAUAAAAGCAAUAAUGGCGAUUUAGGGAUCCAUCUAUAGAAUUCCUAUCUUUUUUGUAUCUUUUCAUGCAGCAAGGAUUUUAAUUUUUCUGUUUUCCUUUUUAAUUUCUUAUGGGGUUGGGAGUGCAAACAAUUCUUCCUAGUCUAGACAUCAUCCCAAUAUCUUCUGGAAAACAUUAUUCAUUAACGAAGUAGUGAAGCAGAAAGUUUCUACCUGAAAUGAGUUGAGGCCUAGCAGUUAAGCGGACAUCUAAAGAAGGUAAACCAAGAGACACCAGAUUGAGGCAAAUACCCAAUAUGCGCACCAAACGUAAAAGCUAUGAAAUCAAAUAUAAGGGGAUUGAAAAACGACUUUCACAGAUAUUAUUUUCUGAUAUAAUACAGUAGGUUUUAGGAAAAUCCGACCAUAAAAUAAAAUCCUUGCAUACAAGUACUGAAAAAAUUAUCUUCAAUUUGGCUGUUUCCAAUCAAGCAAUAUAGGCAACAUGAAAUAUGACUCACUACACUCACUUGAUGCCAGAAAGGUCUUAGUAUGAGGGAAAUAUUGUGGUUCCUUAAAAUUCUUCAAUGCUGGUAUCCCACAAUGGUAUCCUCUGCGUCUCUUUCCAUUCUUCAACUUCAUGAGCUGUGUGUAUCAGGGAAAUAUGUGAAAUCAUUCUCCAUCUUCAACUGCUGCAUCAACGGCAGAAGGAAAUGUAGAAGGAAGAAGUUGAUUCCAAUUAUUCUCCUUUGUUUUGUGGUUUUGCAUUAAAGAAACACAUCCCAACAGCCUGACAGAUAAUGCUUAUGAAAAAUAAAAUAAAGAGACAUGAUGAAGUGAAAAGAGGAUUAUCCCAAUGAAUGAAGCAAAUGUAUUCUCUUGAUUUUCAGUUGAUGCUUUGUUUUCCCUGUUUUAGCUCCUUAAAACUCUUUCUUUCAGCUGCACUCUAAAAUCCUCUGAAUUUUCACCUUCUUUCCCCCAAUGCUCCUUAGGAUUUACAGUAGGCAACCUCCCAAUAUUUGAUUUUGGGUAUCAAUUUCAUAGUUCUAAGAUUUAAAAUUCCAAUUUUUUUUUUCCUUACAUUAAUUUUCUCAACAAAUAAGUAGUUUAUCAUCUUCUACUUUUAUGAAGUCAACCAAAAUCUCAAACAGAGCACCUACAAAACCACAAAAAAGGAAAGGGAUAAAAAAAGUGAAAAACUGCCAAUUCGUGCUUCCUUUCAAUAAUACAAAAGCGUUGAAUCUAUAUUUAUCAUCAUCUUCAAGUUUUAUGGCAUAGGCUGUCAAGAGACUAAUGAAAGUAAAACAAAAGCUUUAACAAGAUAAUCAGAGCUUGAAGCUUAAGUUUGUAGACAUGCAAGCUCAUGUGCAGUGGAAAAGAUGAAAAAUGCCUGGUGAUGAUCCAACAAUGCACUAAUCAAGGCUUGUGGGGAUUGUCGUGUCAUCCUUUGAGCUUUUGCAUUAUGGUUUUUGAUUUUCAUGGAGAUUAAGGGAUUGUUUCCUAGAGAAGGAGGUGGGAGAAAAAUAAAUGAUGAUGUUGCCAAACAAUCUUCACAAAUAAAAUCUAUUUUUGCAUUUUUCUACAAGAAUUUUACCUGGCGGUUGUGCAUAAUCAAAUGGCUCCACGACUCCCAAGUCCCAAACAAUCUAAUGAAGUAUGUAGAGUGAGAAACUAGAGAGAAACCAAAUAUAAUCAAAAUACAUGAAAAGUUAACAUAAUAUUGUAAAUAGAAAAUAAAAUAAUAUCUUGAGAGGCCAACUCAAACAAUCACAAUGCAAAUUUUGACUUUGGCCAUAUUUAUAAUAUGAAAAAUUUUAAAUACGUUUAUAUAUAAAAAAGGAAGGAAAAAAGAAUUACCUUUAAUGAGAUGAAUGCCAUGGGUGCUCAUUGUGUGGGUUGAAAAUAUGGAGUGAGGUUGUGCUUAAUGGUUUGAUCCUCCCACUUCAAUUCAUACCACCAUUUUUGGUCUUCCUCGAUUUUCUCUAAUUUCUUGCUCACUCCAGUAUUGGAAUGAAAUGGCAGCUUCCUUAAACUUCGACAUCCAGACACGUGGAUGUAUCUUAAAGAUGGAAAAGGUAGGGCACAUCCAUAUAUACUUCUUAGCUUUAGUAGCCCUUUUAAAAUGAGAGAUACGAGUCUCGAGAAUACACCCAAAUGGUCUACUUCAAUUUCUAAAACUUCACUCCUUUCAUCAUCUAUCACUUUUUCCAUUGAUUCGCAGAAUCUAAGACUUAGAAAUUGAAGGCUUUGAGCAUAAAUAAGCCAUGUCAUAUUCAACAAUUGAUAACAUCCAUAUAUGUCGACAUCACAAAGGUUGUUCAAGCAUUGGUGCCUUGAGAAUUUUGAGUAGACCACCACUUCCUUUUCAAAAUUGAUUUUCACAUCUUGCAAUUCAAAACAAUCUCUAAUAUGGAGUGCCUUUGUAUAAAGGGAUAGUUGGACCAACUUCAAAUACUUACAAAUUAACUAUAGCCCUCUUGUGGAUCUUUGUAACUUGUGGGAGUUAAAUAAUGAUUGGAUGGAUGAUUCACUUGCAAGGUUGAUGGAUAUAUCAUCAAUGUGUUCCAAUUGCUUUAACUCUUCUAAUAACCUUCUUUCAUCAUCUUCGGUAAAGGCUGACUCUUCCUCUUUUGUGCUAUACAUGCUAAACAAUUGCAAAGAGGAAAGACUUGAUACCAUUUGAGAUGGAAGUGACUCAAGAGAAUACAUAUCAUUCAAUAUCAAGCACCUUAAUUUUUCAAGUUCUUGAGCUCCACAGGUAAGUAUUCAAUACUUGUCCAUGACAAAUUAAGAUAUUGCAAGGUAACUAAGUCUCCAAUCUCCACAGGUAACUCCUUAAGAAGAAAAUUGUUUGACAAAUCCAAAACUCUUAUAAUAGGCAUGUUUGUAAAGAAUCUAUUUGGAAAUGACUGAAUAAACUUAUAUGUUGCCAAAAAGGUCUCCAUGUUAGGGAAAUAUGGUGGUUCCCUAAGCUCUUCAAUGUCGGUAUUCCUCAAUAAUGAUAUCCUCUGUGUCUCUUUCCAGUUUUCAACUUCCUUAGCUCCAAUAUAUCCAACUCCAUCUUUUACCACAAAUUUGUUCUUCUUUUUCCCGUUUUCGCGAGCCAACCACAAAGCCAAAUCACGAAUAACAUCAUGCAUCUUCAAAUAUUCGUCUUUUUCAUCUAAUGGAGAUCUGCCAUUCUCCAAUAAACAUGCAAGCUGUAAACUUUUAAUAACUUAUUCUCCUUGAUUUCUUGCUUCUUGUAUGUUGUCAUAUUCAUCCAGAAAACCCUCCCCGAUCCGAAGUUGUAUAAUUUUUCGAUGAGAGUUUUCAUAAUCCUCCGGAAAUAAAGAGCAAUAUAGGAAACAUGAUUUGAUGGCUUCAUCGGGUAGGCUAUCAUAACUGAAUGCCAAGCGUGAAAACAGAUGAUUCUCCAUACCUUGAAACUUUGCUGGAUAAUUCUUCAACAUUUCUAUUUUUUUCCUCCGUUCUUCGGGUGUUUUUGUUCCCGCCAUUGCUCGCCCUAUGGUGAUGAGGGCAAGUGGUAAGCCGCAACACUCACUGGCAACCACCUCCGCCAGCUUUGGUACAUCUGGAUGAGAAUUUAUGGUGUCUGAUCCCACCUUCGUCUGAAACAGAGCAAAAGCAUCCUCCCAUGGGAGACAAUUCGCUUCAAUGCUCUCUGUAACUUCCAUGUCUUGGCACACAUCUUUAGAUCGCAUUGUAAGUACCAUCUUCAACUUAUCUUGAUGAUUCAGAGGAAGAAUACUGAUUACUACCAAAAAGUGCUAUUUUGUAGACCUAAUUAUAAUGGUUUUAAGCACCUUUGAGUAGUAAUCAUAUUCAUUUAACCCAAUUAAUUCAUUAAGGUCCUUAGUAAUUGGUUUUAACCAUUUUGUGGCAAGUUUACAUGUUUUUAUCAGCUUAUGAAUCAAUUCAAGCAUGCCAAAUGAUGGAGGAGCUACUUGGACAAGUUAUGGCAAAGCUUUUGGAAGCUCAAAUUCAUGAAGAACCAAGCUUUGGAGCUCCAUAGCCCUUUGCCAAAGUCGUUCAAAGUAUGCAAGGAAAGAACAAUGGAGAAGAGGAAAACAGAGUGAAGAAAAUAGAGGACAGCAGCUACAAUCUUCUUUCGCACUUUUGGUGCACUUCCCGAAGUCCAUUUUCUACAUGCUAUAUACCAUUUCAAAGCUCAGGAAGUCAAGAAUCCAACGCUUUAAACCGUGUAUGAUUUGGAGCUGAAAUGAGGAAGAUAUGGCAUUCGGAAGACAACUGCUCCAGGCUUGUGCGAAAAUUUCGCACAACACCUUCCAAAUUCGCACACCCCCUUGCGUGGUGCGAAUUUUCCCCUAUUUCUGCCGACUCCACAAGAGAUCUUUUCUUUUGGAUAUUUUUGUAUAAAUUUCCAUUCUUCUCCUUGUAAUCCACCAAUCAUAAGAUUUCUUAGCUAGGAAGGUUGGAAAAACUUCUCUAUUUAUAUCCCCUUGCAUUCGUUGUAACAAAUAUUGAUAUAUAGAUAAUAUAUAUUACGUUUGACACUUAGAAUAUUUACAGAGCUCUCCCGUUUCUAUUUUCUUAGUAGCCAAAUAGCCUCUAAGGGCAUUUCCUCAGAGGAUGAUUGGCUAAAACUUUUAGUUUCUCAAAGUAUGGAUGUUAUGUGAUGGCUUGGAUGCAAUCCCAUGGAAAUUUCUCGCACCCGGAAGGUAAGGUAGUCGUUUUUCAUUAAAGGUUCAUUAAUGCAAAGUUUGGUUUUUAUUUCCUUUGGACAACUUCCAACGGCCAAUACUUGAUAAGCUUUUGGAUUUCUAUCCAUUAGUUAUCUCCUACGAGCUAUUGGAAGGUGAGGUUUUCAAUUCCAAGUUUUGUAUUAAUCCGUUAGAACCAAUUUCAAUGGCCAUUGAAAGGUGAGUUUAUCACUUGGAAUGACUUUGAGUUGCCAAUAUUUGGUAAGCUUUUGGCUUUAGACCAUUAGUUAUCUCUUACGAGCCAUUCAAAGGAAGUCUAAGGUGAAUAACCAUUGAUGAAAUUCACUACCAUCUGUUUUGCCAUUUUAAAGGAUUAAAACUUGAUUUGAUAAAUCCAUACCGGUUCGGGAAGCAAGCAUCACCAUAGUUGCAACCCCAACGCGAGGAGCCUAUCCUGAGAUUUCCAAUUUGCAUAAGAGCCAGAGCAUAACUAUCCUAUCUUUGAGAAACUUGUUUUUGCACCCUUUCAUUUUAGUCUUUAAUGUUAGCUUAGAUUAGUUUAAAUCUUUCUAAAACAUUUACAUCUUCUUUUAAAGCUAACAUCCAUAAGAAAAUCACCUAUUUUCCUAAUUUGAAUAUCACUAGUGUUUGCGAAAACCCUUCCCAGUGAACGAUCCUAGAACCACUAUGCUAUAGUAGCUUGGCUACUUUAGUAAUAGUAUUCAAGGUAUAAAUUUUGUUGAUACGCCUUUAAAGCUAAGCUACCAUGAGUCGAAUCAAAUACCAACUUUGGAUAGAUCCAGCUGCUCCCCAUAUGUCGUCUAACAAGAGCACAAAUUUCUUUGUCUUCAGGACAUUGAAUAUUUCUUUUGCCCUUUCAUCCUCACUCCUACCUUCCCAUUUAUCUUUGGGAAUCUCCAAUUUAUUGAAAAGAACUCGCUGAACCUUUUCCACAUUGGCUGGUCUGGACACAGUCACCUAAAUCACUGCAUCAAGUUCAAGCCUGGUUUUGAGGAGCUCAUUGUUGAUCCUGGUCAAGAGGGUGGUUUUGCCCACACCCCCCAUUCCAUAUAAUCCGAUACUGCUUACCUGCUCUCCAUCAUCUUGGAGCCAUUUCCAGACCUUCCCAAACAACAAAUCUUGGCCCACAGUCUUGUCCAGAGGCCUCUCGAUCACGGGAGGACCAGGCAAAGGUUCAGCAACUACACUGAAAUUUGAGCCCUCCGUCUUCUUUACCGUCACAACAUCCAUCUUUUCAAGUACCAUCUUGCCAAGCUUGUAGCUAGCGCCACAGUUUUUAGGACAAUAGGUUCCGAGACAUAUCUUCUGGAUUUCUUCAUCACCUAUGGCCAAUAUUUCCAUCACUUGUUCUUCCAUGGCUUCUACAUUGCGGAGCCAGCCAUCGACUACAUGAGUACGCUUCUUCUGAAGUUUCUGUUAGAAUUCAACCAAGAUGAAUACCCUAAUUUCAUAUAUACUGGAAUAGUUAACAAGGUAAAUACCCUAAUUUCAUAUAUAUUGAAAUAUUUAACAAGGUGGAUACCCUAAUUUCAUAUAUACUGGAAUCUCCUGAUUAAAAAACAAUGAGUGGAAAAAUAAUAGCGAAAGCAUACCUGAAUCCAUUGAAGGAGAAACCUUAUAGGAAGAAAACCCUUUGAGAUGGUCUUCCAAUUCUAGCCACUAGAUUCUGUGUCAAUUUCUCUCUGAGAGGAUUUUCAGAAAUUGGAAUGCGUAGUCGUAGAAUGGGGACCAUAACCCUAUUUAUAAACCGCUAGGGCAGUUUUAAUUUUAUCACAAUUAUAUUUCUGCCCCUCAUAGAAAUAAUAAUUGUCUAAUAGUAUCUACACAAUAAUCUCAUGACAAUUAUACCCUUAAGCCAAUUAAUCAAUUAUUAAUUAGAUCACUAUAUUUAGGCUUAAUUAAAUGAUAGCACACACAUUUUAAUUAUUUACAUAAGUGGCCCAAAUUAUAGAUUAAUUACAAAAAUUAAUCUAACAAUCUCCCACUGGGCCACAUGCAUAUGUAAUCAAAUAAAUGUGCUUAACCUUAUGAGCUCAAAAUUUGCUAUCAUGUCCUUAGGGUAUAUCCGAACAAUCUCGUCCAUUAACUAUACUGACAUAGGAUCAAGGUGGCCUUUGUUACAUCAAUCAUUACUAGACCAAUCAAUGGUCACAUAUAUCUGCACAGCUAAAUGACAUAGAUCAAUCAUGAGUGCAUAACAUGGAAAUUACAUGCAAUGUGAUCUAUUCAUGCCUAUUUCCAACUGGUCCAACUUAACUUUAUUGAGAUCAAAUCUUUAGCAUAAUUUAACAGAGUGCAAUAAAAUGAAUACUUUAUUUCUGCAGAACACAAUCCAAAUGUAUAGAUAAAGUCUAAACAUAACAUAGAGCAAUAUACAAUGAAUAAUACAAACUCCCACUAAAUUUGGAUAUCCUCAAAUNNNNNNNNNNNNNNNNNNNNNNNNNNNNNNNNNNNNNNNNNNNNNNNNNNNNNNNNNNNNNNNNNNNNNNNNNNNNNNNNNNNNNNNNNNNNNNNNNNNNUGCUCUAUGGAUAUCUGUCAACUCUGUACUUUUUCUUUUACAACUAGGAACUUGAUAUCAAUGUAUUUUGAUUUUGUAGAACUCCUAUUGUUAUUGGAAUAUAAAACUGCUGAUUUAUUGUCACAAAAUAUCUUCAGUGGUCUUUCAAUACCAUCCAGAACACGCAGCCCAGUGACAAAAUUUCGUAGCCAUAUUCCUUGAUUGGAUGCCUCAUAACAUGCUACAAACUCUGCUUCCAUGGUGGAUGAAGUUACGAGUGUCUGUUUGCCAGACCUCCAUGAAAUUGCUCCACCAGCCAACAGAUAAAUAUAGCCUGAUGUGGAUCUUCUGCUGUCUUGGCAUCCAGCAAAGUCGGAGUCGGAAUACCCAAUCAACUCUAACUGAUCCAAUCUCCUAUAUGUAAGCAUGUACUCUUUUGUUCUCUGUAAAUAUCUCAUAACCCUCUUGGCUGCUCUCCAAUGAUCCAUUCCAGGGUUACUUAGAUAUCUGCCUAACAUGCCAACAAUGUAUGCAAUAUCCGGACGUGUACAUACCUGAGCAUACAUUAGACUCCCCACAGCCGAAGCAUAAGGAAUCUUUUGCAUUUCUUGACUUUCUAAACUAUUUUUAGGGCAUUGAUUAAGACUGAAUUUGUCUCCUUUAGCGACAGGGGUAUCACUUGGUUUGCUAUUUUGCAUGCCAUACCUUUGGAGGACUUUAUCAAUAUAGGUCCUUUGUGACAAUCCUAAAAUACCCCUAGAACGAACUCGGUGUAUCUGGAUUCCUAAGACAAAGGAGGCAUCACCAAGAUCUUUCAUCUCAAAAUGUUUUGAUAAAAAUCUCUUGGUGUCGUGCAAUAUGCUAAUAUCAUUUGUGGCUAGCAAUAUGUCAUCGACAUAUAAAACCAGGAAAAUAUACUUACUCCCACUGAAUUUGUGAUACACACAUUCAUCCAUAAGAUUUGCCUCAAAACCAUAUGAGACAAUAAUUUGAUGAAACUUGAAGUACCACUGACGAGAAGCUUGCUUGAGCCCAUAAAUGGAUUUAGUUAAUUUACAAACCAUAUUCUUUGAGUCUUCGGACACAAAAUUUUCUGGUUGUACCAUAUAAAUUGUUUCAUCAAUGUCACCAUUGAGAAACGCUGUUUUAACAUCGAUUUGAUGUAACUCAAGAUCAUAAUGUGCAACUAGUGCCAUGAUUAUCCUGAAAGAGUCCUUCGUAGAAACUGGAGAGAAGGUCUCUUUGAAGUCAAUUCCUUCUUUUUGAGUAAAGCCUUUAGCUACAAGACGUGCUUUAUAUCUUUCUACAUUACCAUUUGAAUCCUUCUUGGUUUUAAAUAUCCAUUUACAACCAAUGGGCUUCGUACCAACUGGUAAUGGGACAAGUUCCCAAACUUUAUUGUCUUGCAUAGAUUUGUACUCUUCAUUCAUGGCUUCAAUCCAUUUCUGAGAGUUGGAACUUUUCAUGGCUUGCUGGAAGUUGAUUGGAUCAUCUUCCAUCAUUCCACUUUCUACCUCACGUUCCUGGAGAUAUACGAUAUAAUCGUCCGAAAUUGCAUUUCUCCUCUCUCUAGUGGAUCUCCUUAAUGGCAUAUUUUCUUGAGGUUGUUGAGUUUGUUCUUCAGGAGCAAUGUCCUCAUUUGCAAUUAAGGGUUGAACAAUAUUGUCUGUUGGUUGAGGAUCCAAAUUUACUUCUUGAUCAAUGAUAGGUAGUGAAACCUGUACAUUAUCAAAAGCAAUAGUAGAUCCCUCUUCCUCCUCAAAGACAAUAUUCCUAGCCUGAUUUCUCCCCCCAAACUCAACAUCCUCAAAAAAUGUUGCAGUUCCCAUCUCAAAAAUUGACCUAAUAGCAGGAUCAUAAAAUUUAAAACCCCUUGAUCGCUCUGCAUAGCCAAUAAAGUAGCUGCUAACUGUUUUAGAGUCCAAUUUCUUUUCAUGAGGCUUAUAAGAUCUCGCUUCAGCUGGACAUCCCCAAAUAUGAAAAUGCUUUAAACUAGGCUUUCGACCUGUCCAAAGCUCAUAAGGCGUUUUAGCAGCCGCUUUAGUUGGCACCCGAUUUAGGAUAUAAGCUGCCGUUUUGAGUGCUUCACCCCAGAGUUUUUCGGGUAAAGUAGAAUGACUAAUCAUACUCCUUGCCAUGUCCUUAAGGGUUCGGUUUUGUCUUUCUGCUACACCAUUCAUGCUAGGUGAUCUUGGCAUGGUGUAUUGAGGGACGAUCCCACAUUCCUCUAGGUAUUUAGCAAAUGGUCCUGGACGUUGUUCACCUGAUCCGUCAUAUCUACCAUAGUAUUCACCACCACGGUCAGAUCUGACGCUCUUUAUUCUUUUGUUGAGUUGUAACUCAACUUCUGCUUUAAAUGUUUUGAACACGUCCAAUGAUUGUGAUUUCUCAUGUAUAAGAAAUAGGUAGCCAUAUCUUGAAUAGUCGUCUAUGAAUGUUAUAAAGUACUGUUGACCAUUCCAAGAUGCCAUAGGGUAUGGUCCACAGAUAUCUGUAUGAAUUAAUUCUAAGACGUCUGUAGCUCUAUUGGCACCUAAUUUCUUUGUUUUGGUCUGUUUUCCUUUAAUACACUCAACACAAAUAUCAAAAUCUGAAAAGUCAAGUGAAUCCAAAAUCCCAUCGGACACAAGUCGCUCAACUCUAGAUUUAGAGAUAUGACCUAGGCGUUUGUGCCACAAUGAGGCCGAAUGAUCUUUAUUCAAUUUACGUUUCGUACCUCGUGAUUCCACAUGCAAGGUUUCAUUAUAGGACGGAAUAGUUUCCAACAAAUAUAGAUUAUCAUAAACAUUAAGUAAACCGGUUCCUACAGCAUUUGAAUUAAUAGAUAAUGUAAAUCUAUUGUUUCCAAAUGAACAAUAAUAAACUGAUUUGUCCAAAACAGAAACUGAAAUUAAAUUCCGUCUGAAAGACGGUACAACAAAAGUAUCUAUUAAAUCCAAAAAAUAACCAGAUUUCAAUAAUAAUCUAAAGUGCCCUAUUGCCUCUACUUCUACCGACUGACCGUCUUCGACAUAGAUGCAUCUUUCAGCAUCACUUGGUUUUCGGUAACUCAGGCAACCCUGCAUAGAAACACAAAUGUGAGUAGUAGCACUAGAAUCUAACCAUCAUGUGUUUCUAGAUACUGAAGCUAAAUUAACUUCAGAACAGACCAAAGUAAGAAACAUACCUUUCUUAACACGCCAAGCAGCAUACUUGGUACAUUCCUUCUUAGUAUGUCCAGGCUUAUUACAGAAGAAACAUGUUACCUCAACUUUCUGUUUCUUUUGUUCUGGACCAUUAGAAGUAGCAACCUUAUUAUCCUUAUUCUUUCGUUUGCCCUUAUCCUUGGAAGUGCUAGCCAGAUGAGCACUUUCGGUCUUGUCUUGCUUCAAUCUCUCUUCCUCUUGCACACAGAAUGAAAUGAGCUCAUUAAGAGUCCGUUUAUCCUUUUGACAGUUAUAACUGACCUUGAAUUGAUUAAAUUGUGCAGGAAGAGAGAUGAGAACCAAAUGCACGAGUAAAUCAUCAGAUAACUCGAGUUUCAAAGCCUUAAGUUUUGAAGCAAGAUGAGACAUCUCCAUGAUGUACUCCCGAACAUUACCCUUGCCUUUAUACUUCAUUGAAAUCAAGCUUGCUAAAAGCGUGCUCGUUUCAGCCUUAUCGUUUUUGGCAAAACGUUUUUGAAUUUCCGCAAGGAAGUCACUGGCAUUAGUAACCUCAUCGGUUACCGCACCCCUGAAAGCUUCUGGAAUGCCGCGCUUCAUGAUCAUAAGACUUAGCCUAUUUGAACGUUCCCACUUACCCCAAUAAACCUCAUCCUCUUGAGUACUUUGCUCAUUGAGUUCAUCAGGUUUGGGCAUUCUCAAGGCCAAGUCUAUAUCCAUGCAGCCUAAGAGAAUCAUCAUAUUCUCUUUCCAGUCGUUAAAAUUAGUCCCAUUUAACAUAGGGACAUUAUUGAUGUUGGCAGAUAUAGAAGUAGUUGAUAUAAAAGCUGAAUCGAGAACAAAAUAAAAUGAAUCAAAUAAACCAUCAUGCUCACAUAAAAUAAGCAAUUAAACACAUAAUCUUUAAAUUUAAAAGCAAAUUAUGACAUUUCAAGAUACCUAGCACAACAUUAAUAUCAAGUCUUUGGACAGUAAUAUUAACUGUAAGUGGUACUCUUGUUGUAGUGAUCAAACAUUGAUGAUAAGUUAUGUCAAAUAAUAAAUCUAUCUUUGGAUUGAUUUAUUAUUCACAUUAAGUUACCUUUAUAAUCAUCACAUAUUUAUCACCACAAGUAUGUAUGCAAUUUGACCAAAUAUUAACUUUCCUUUGGGCCAGUCAAUACCCGCAUGAAUCACAUACACACAAAUAUCUAACACCCCGAACAGACUAAUCUACACGGAAGAUGUCACUUUGGUGAUUUUCCGCUUUAAUUAGCCUAUUUAAAAUGCUAGAUCAAUAACUUAAAUAUUAAUAUCAUAAAAUGCUAUUAAAUAAUAAUAAUAAUAAUAAUAAUAAUAAUAAUAAAAAUUUUAUCAGCUCAAUAUUUCAUAAAUCUUAAUCCAUUGACAUAUAUUAAAAUAAUAACUCAAAGAAUUAAUCAAGGAGUAGGCUCUGAUACCACUUGUUAGAAUUCAACCAAGAUGAAUACCCUAAUUUCAUAUAUACUGGAAUAGUUAAUAAGGUAAAUACCCUAAUUUCAUAUAUAUUGGAAUAUUUAACAAGGUGGAUACCCUAAUUUCAUAUAUACUGGAAUAGUCUUGUUAAAAAACAGUGAGUGGAAAAAUAAUAGCGGAAGCAUACCUGAAUCCAUUGAAGGAGAAACCUUAUAGGAAGAAAACCCUUUGAGAUGGUCUUCCAAUUCUAACCACUAGAUUCUGUGUCAAUUUCUCUCUGAGAGGAUUUUCAGAAAUUGGAAUGCGUAGUCGUAGAAUGGGAACCAUAACCCUAUUUAUAAACCGCUAGGGCAGUUUUAAUUUUAUCACAAUUAUAUUUCUGCCCCUCAUAGAAAUAAUAAUUGUCUAAUGGUAUCUACACAAUAAUCUCAUGACAAUUAUACCCUUAAGCCAAUUAAUCAAUUAUUAAUUAGAUCACUAUAUUUAGGCUUAAUUAAAUGAUAGCACACACAUUUUAAUUAUUUACAUGUGUGGCCCAAAUUAUAGAUUAAUUACAAAAAUUAAUCUAACAGUUUCUCUUCACGUUCCACCCCUUUCCUUCACAUCUUCGUAUAGGUUCUUGAGUUCCUCCAUUGCAGUUCUCAAAGAGUUGAGAUUUUGUGGGAGAUGACGGAUGUAAACAGCACGCUUGGCAGUGCAAUUCCACAAGCGAGUAGCGACAUCCAGGAUUGGGCUCACACAAUCCACGGAGAAAACAAGGACUGGGAUUCAAAGCCAAGAAGAACUUAAUCAGAAUAGGAAAACAGGUGCUGGAUUGAAAUUGGAGAGGAAAAGAGAAGAAUUCUGGAUUUAUGUUUGUUGUGUACAAAACCCAGCAAAGUUGUAGAUCAGUAAGGAGAAAAGUAAUAAUGAAAUAUCACUUUUUUUUUCAAGUAAAAGACUCCGCAAUCAGUGUAUGAUGUACUCAAAUUACAUAUCCAAAAUCAAAAUGAGUUCACAUUUGGGUAAUGGAAAAAAAUAAAUUCUAAACAAAAUUAGCAAAGUAUUGUGCAUGCUUUAGAAAGUUUGGUGAUUCAUAAAGGAAGAAAAGAAGAAAAGCACCGAAAGUGCGGAUUCUUUGAUAACAUUUUUCAAGACAUUCAUUCGCAUCAUAUAUCAUUUGUGUCUUUUAAUCAUUAUUAAAUGUUGGACAUCAUUCAUGACUCAAGACCUAUAUGAAGAGUGCUUUUUUUAUUUUUUAUUUUUAUAAAAUAUAAUAUUCUAAAUAAUAAAUAUUACUAACAUUUUACAAAAAGAAUAUUUACUUGUUCAUUUGUAAAUAAUUUUUAUUUUUUACUUUUGUUAAUUUUUUGUAAGAGGAUAUUUUGAUAUUCUCAACAACUCAAAUUAGUGAAACAGGCGAUGGAUAGGAGUUGGUGAGGUGAAGAGAAGAAUAUUGGGUUUAUGUUUUUGUGUUCAAAACCCAGAAAAGAUGAUAAUGAAUAAAGACUGAAGUAAUAAUGACAUUGUCUUCCAUGCAGACUGUCAAGCUCUGUAAAGAUGAAUAUAAGGCCACCCCACCACUUCUGGUAUGAUAUUUUCCCAUUCUUUCCUUCCUUUGUGUUUCCAUCAAUCAAGCAUAGUAAAGGGUCCACAGCUUUUCUGGGUUUCUCUUUUCCUUUAGUGGGAAUCUUUUUCUUCCAACACAAAUAUGAAUUCAUUUACAUAUGAAGUUUGUGUACUGGUUUGUAACUAUAAAACUGUAAGUAGCAGUGCAUAUAAUUCUUCAUCCGUUCUACUGUUUAAAAAUAUAAUUCUUUUUUCUUGAUAGGUUGGGAUCCAUUUUAUUAGUAAUUAUUUAGGAAUUUAUUAGGUUUCUUUCAUCAUUCCAAACACGAAUUUAUUAGGAAUUUAAGGAUUUUUCCGUAAUCCCAUUCCAAGUUUUGGAUUAUCAAACAUGGGUACAUGAGCGGAGGAGAAUUAAUUGGUUUUUGAAUUUUUUUUGAUGAUAUACAUAAACAAAAUUUUGUUAAUUUAUUUUUGGAGAAGUAAUUUUUAUUUAUUGAAAAUUUGAUUUUUAUUUAUUUGAAAAACGAGGAUAUUCAAAUUGUUGAUUAUAACCAAAUAUCUAAUUACAAGAAAAAAAAAAAGAUUAAUAUAAAGAUAAAAUUGCAACCUCUCUCUCAAUUAAGAUGAGAGAAUUUAAAAUCUUACAAAAUGAUGAAAGAAAGCCUCUUUUUUUUUUUUUUUUAAUGAAUAGUAAGGGGUGGAGACCACGUUUUAUAGCAUAGGGAAACUCCCCCCCUUUUGUCUUCUAAACGAGAUGGGAUGACUUCAACUUUGACACGAUACACUUAGAAAUGUAAGGUUGGAAUGAUUAUUUAUUUCUAUUUUAAUGUUAAGUAACAAUAAAAAUGAGAAUGAAAGAGAAAUAAGUUCACAAUAAUAUCUAUACGCAUAGUUUAAAAUAAUUUUUUAUUUGUAGGACAUCUAAUAAUGGUUUAAAAUCAUAGUUAUUUUUUACCAUAUUUUGUUAUGAUAAUAGUAAUUAACUCCAAAAACAAUGAAAGUUCAUUUGUAUAUUUGUAUAUAGGUUUAUUUGAGCACUUAAAAAUGGUUAACUUGGAUAUAUUUUUAUGAUAGAGAAUUCUCUAGCUAAGAAGUCUUCUCUUAUGCACUUGUUUGUACAUUUAUAAUUAUUUUCUUUAGGUUAUAUAUGGUUCAUGAUUUUUUUUUUAGAGGAAAGAAAAUAGUGAGAAAAUUAUAAGGAAAAAAAUUUAUAAAAAUAUUUCGGGAGACGUCUCCUUGAUGUUUGGGUUUGAUUCAGCUAUGGAUUUGGGUGACAAAGAUCACACAUUUGAUGAUGGAUGAUUUGAUGUUGUCCGAUUUUCGGCUUAUCCUACAUCUGAUUCCAUACUGGGGCAUAUUUCUGUUUCGAUUGAGAUUUACAGAUCUCAUGGAGUCGCAUGAUCAUCCUCACCUACUAGAUAAACGCUGAGAUGAUGACCUGUUUAUUAUCUUAUCAUGAUUCCUCAGUGGAGCCUCUCUAGAGCCAUCUAGUCAGACCCCCAUUUUUCGGCAUUUGGUUGUCAUCAUGUUUCUCAUUUUGGGGUACGCCUUUUGAUCUAUGAGUUCGAUUCAGUUAUGGAUGUGGAUGACUAGGAUUGCACAUUCAAUGAUGGAUAAUUUAAUAUCAUCUAGUUUCCCAACCUAUCACACAUUCGAUGCCAUACCAGGGCAUAUUUCCGUUUUGGUUGAGAUUUGUAGAUCUUCAUUGAUUUGCAUGAUUGUCCCCAAUCAUGAGAUGCACGUUGGGCUAAUGGUUUGCUUUCAUUUUGUCCAGAUUCUCUAGUGGAGCCUUUCUUGAGUCAUUCAAUCAAGCUCAUAUUUUCUGAUAUUGUCAUGAUUCUUAGAUGAAGUUAUCUCAGGUGCAUAAACUCCCACAUCAUCAUUUCAGUAGAGUGCAUGUCAGGUCUCUUACACGUCCCCAUUGAGCUAUACUGGGGCAUAUUUCCCUCUUUUAGUUGCGGAGAUGAUUGUAUUCUCACAGACUUGUUAUAGUCUUCAUUACUUGGACGAGGGAUAUUUCUUUGCAUUACUGGUCACAGUUUCAGUGAUUUUAGUCGAGAUGGUCUCCAAAGGAGCACAACCUUCUGGGUUUUAACUACCCCUCUAUCCAUGACCUUUCAGUAGAUUUUUGUGUUGGGGUCGCAGUAGUUACCCUAUUAGACUAUUCUCUUGAGACUUCUUAGUGGAUCAUUCAUUUGAGAUGACGAUGGACUCCUCCAGUAAAGCAUUUUGAGUUAGAGGCGCUUGACUUAUUGUGACACAUCAUCAGGCCUCGUGAUUUAGUCGGAUGGAUUAUGAGGCUGUACUUAUAAUCGAUUUGAUCAUUCCGACUCUCUAGUGGAGCAUCUUUCGAGACACAGUGAGCCUCUUUCAGACCUUUCCAGUGGAUUGAGAGUUGUGGCGGCACGCUACACUAGGGCAUGUUUCCCCCUUUAUCAUUUCCUUGCAGAUUGGCGUUCAGAGCCACCAUAUUUUCUCAGUUAUGACGUUUAGAGUCGUCAUUCUCAGUUCGACGUUCAGAGUCGUCCUUUUCAGUUUGGCGUUCAAAGCCACCAUCUCCUUGUAGCUUGGCGUUCAGAGCCAUCAUCGCUUCUCAGUUACGACGUUCGGAGUCGUCUUUCUCAGUUUGACAUUCAGAGAUGUCAGUUCUCAGUUAUGGCGUUUAGAGCCUUUAUCUUCUUUAGUUCAUUGUUCAGAGCCACCAUCUAUUCUCAGUUCGACGUUCAGAGUCAUUCUUCUCAGUUCGACGUUCAGAGUCAUCCUUCUUAGUUUCAGCGUUCAGAGCCACCAUCUCUUUUCAGUUUGGGGGUUCAGAGCCACUAUCUCUUUUCAGUUUGGCGUUCAGAGCCACCAUCUCUCCACAGUUUAGUUUUUAGGGCCACCACAUUUUUUCAGUUUGGCGUUCAGAGCCGUCGUUCAUAGUUUGACAUUCACAGUCGUCGUCCACAGUUAAGCGUUUAGAGCCACCAUCUCUCCACACCCGUCUAGGUUAACUUAGGCGGCCCAUUUAGACACUUUAGGCCCGUCUAGCUUCAUUUAGGCCCACUUAGGCACACUUAGCCCACUAGACAUUUUUAGAGUGACUUGUAUGGUUGCAUGGAUCAUUUAUCUCAUUUACUUAUUUAUUUUUAUUUUUUAUUAUUAUUAUCAAUCACUUUUAUUUAAUCAUUUACUAUAUUUUUAUUUGUUUAUUUAUUUUAAUUUACUUUCAUUGUUAUCAAUCACUUUUAUUUAUUGAGUUAUUUUUUAUUUCUUGUUUAUUUAUUUGUUUAUUAUUUUGUUGUUUAUUCAUUUAUUUAUUAUUAUUAUUUCAUCAUUCUCUAAUUUAUUUAUUUUAUUCAUUUAUUUAAUUUGAUAAUUUGAUGUUUUUAUGGGAAAAUUUGCCAACUGGAGGAAAAAGAAUUUUGAAAUUGGUAAGAAUUUGAAAAGGAAAGAAACUCUUCGAAGAUGGGACUCUUUACGUGAUAUGCAUGGAUUCACUUGUGAAAUUUUUAAAAAGGAGUUUUUUUGGUGGAUGAGAUAGAAUUUGGCAGAGAGGAGAAGUCCUCAGUGGGGACGACUCUAAUUGCUAUAAAAAGCAUAGGUGGUGGGUAUGAAUGGGGGGAUUUUUUGGAGGAUCUUGAGAGGGAGAAGAAGGAAGCACGACAAAGUGGAGUAAGUGAUUUGGGACAAUAUACAAGCGGGGAUUUUCUUAUCAGGGGGAGCGUUUUCCAGGUACGUUUUUUGUAGACCCUUUGUAAGAAAACAGAGUAGAAAUCUGGUGUAUAUUUCAUUCAUCAACUUAAAGGGAAGAAGAUACAUAUAUACAAAGUAUUGGUUAGCCUAUUUUAGGAAUCUAUGAGCAAACGUAUCAGUUACAAUCAAUCAAAAUAAUCUUCUAUAUACAAUCAAAUAUCAUCCUCAAAUUACGGGAUCCUUGAUUCCUUUCCCUUAAUACUCCCCCUCAAGUUGGAGCGUGUAUGUCAAGAACGCCAAACUUGCUGAGAAGGGAAUGAAAAAUUGAUGAAUUGAGUGGCUUAGUGAACAAAUCAGCAAGCUGGCAAGACGAUGGAACAUGAGCAGUUACUAUGGCUCCUGAUUGAAUUCGUUCUCGAACAACAUGACAAUCAAUUUCUAUAUGCUUGGUACGUUCAUGGUAAACUGGAUUAGCAGCAAUAUGGAGUGCUGCUUUACUAUCACAGAAUAGUUUGGCAGGUUGCGAGUGUUCUACUUUCAAGUCAUCCAACAAAUACCUGAGCCAUGUAAGUUCACAUGUAAUGGAAGCCAUUGCUCGAUAUUCUGAUUCAACUGAUGACCUUGACACUGUUGUCUGUUUCUUGGUUUUCCAUGAAAUGAGAGCUCCUCUAAGAAAAAUACAAUAUCCAGUCACAGAUCGUCUUGUGAUCGAACAUCGAGCCCAAUCUGAAUCACAAAAUCCUCUUAGUAGCAAAUUUCCUUUUGCAGGAAAAUAUAAUCCUUGUCCAGGUGCACCUUUAAGAUAUCGUAGAAGAUGAUGAACAGCAUGCAAAUGAGGCUUUCUUGGUUCUUGCAUAAACUGGCUUAAAAUGUGAACUGAAUAACUUAUCUCUGGCCUUGUAAUGGUAAGAUAAAUGAGUUGUCCGACCAAUCUUCUAUAAGUGGAUGGAUUCUUCAAUAAAUCUCCUACUGUGGGUAGGAGUUUAUUAUUUUCUUCCAUAGGUGUUGACAAUGGUUUGGCCCCAAGCAAGCCUGCUUCAUCUAAAAUAUCAAGAGUAUAUUUUCGCUGAGAUAUUGAAAUACCAUCAGUAGAACGAGCAACUUCAAUACCAAGGAAAUAUCGUAAUUGACCGAGGUCCUUGAUGCGAAAUUUGGUGUGGAGAGACUCCUUAAGAGCUGCAAUUACAUUCUCAUCAUUGCCGGUGAUGAUCAUGUCAUCUACAUAGAUGAGCACAGCUGUGAAAGAAUUACCAGAGAUCUUUGUGAAAAGUGAAUAAUCAGCCCUUGAUUGAUGGAAACCAUCUUGUUGAAUGGUGGCCGAAAAUUUCCGAAACCAGCUACGAGAGGCUUGUUUAAGUCCAUAUAAUGACUUGUUGAGUCGACAUACCAUAGGUGUCUCCCCCUGUUGACGAAAACCGAGUGGCAAUUGCAUAUAGACUUCUUCAAGCAAAUCACCAUGGAGAAAGGCAUUUUGAACAUCCAUUUGGUGAAGUGACCAAUGUCGGACAGCAGCUAUAGCAAGUAAACAUCGAACUGUAGUUAACUUAGCCACAGGAGAAAAGGUCUCCUUAUAGUCAAUCCCUUCGCGUUGAGUGAAGCCUUUCGCCACCAACCGAGCUUUGUAUCGCUCAACUGUGCCAUCAGAGUUAUAUUUGAUCUUAUACACCCAUUUGCACCCAAUUGGACGAUGACCGUAAGGGAGAGGUGUGAGUGUCCAAGUGUGAUUUUGUUCAAGAGCAUGGAGUUCUGCAGCCAUAGCUUCCUGCCAUUUUGGAUCUAAUACUGCCUGUUCAUAAGUUGUAGGUUCCACAAGAGUGGUGAUGGCACAAACAAAAUUCCGAUAUUUUGGUGAGAGUUGUGCAUAGGAAAUAUACCGAGUCAAAGGGUGACGCGUACCUGACAAGGAAGAAGAUUGGCUGGAAGCAACCUUGGCGGUGUGGUAGAGAUGAAAAUUCCGGAGGUGGACAUUGGGUUGCUUGAUGCGGUCAGAACGACGAGUAGUAGGAGGUGGAGGUGACACAAUGGUGUCAAGAUGAAGUGUGCGUUCAUUAGAGGUAGACUCAAGAGAUGAAAGCAAUGGUGGUGGCUGAUCAUCGGCUUGUGGUUUGGUUGUCUCUGUGGUUAUGGGUUCAUAUGAGGUUUGUGGUAAAGGAAGAACUACCACAUCAUGUUGUUCUUCUUGUGGAUUAGUGUGAAACGGAAAUAUAUGUUCAUGAAAGACAACAUCUUGGGAAGAAAAGAAUUUAUUAGUGUCAAGAUCAUAAACCCGAUAACCCUUUUGACCAAGAGGAUAACCAACAAAUAUGCAACGACGAGCUCUUUGAUCAAAUUUAUGUGUGGGUAAGAGAUUGGUGGCAUAACAAAGACAUCCAAAAGUUCGUAGAUGAUGAUAUGAAGGUAGCUUGUUAUGGAGAAGUUGGUAUGGCGAUUUGUGAGAAAGAAGGGGUGUAGGUAAGCGAUUGAUUAAAUAGCAAGCCGUUUGAAUACUUUCCCCCCAAAAUUUUAACGGCAAGUUUGCUUGAAAACGAAGAGCUCUUCCCACAUUUAAAAGAUGACGAUGUUUCCUCUCAACCACCCCAUUUUGUUGGGGGGUGUAAGCACAUGAAUGAUGGUAAUUGAUCCCCUUAGUAUCCAAAUACUGUUUCAUAGAGGAAAUUUCAGUCCCAUUAUCGGUUCGAAGGGUUUUAAUGCAACGAUUAAAUUGGGUUUCCACCCAAGAAAUGAAUGAUUGCAAUAUCCCUUGUGUUUCAGAUUUAAAACUCAUGAGAUGUAUCCAAGUAUAUCGAGUAUGAUCAUCAACAAUUGUUAGGAAAUAACAAGCCCCAGAGUGAGAAUUUAUUCGAUGUGGUCCCCAAAUAUCACAAUGUAUCAAAUCAAAAGGUGCAUGAGAAGAAAUGAAACUAGAUGGAAAGGACAAACGAGUUUGUUUGGCUAAAGGGCAAAUAUCACAAACAUGCUUGGAAUCAAAAUAAAUUUUAGGAUUAACUUUAGCAAGAACUUGAAGAGGACCGGAUGAUGGGUGCCCAAGACGUUGAUGCCAAAGAUCAGAAUGUUUGUGAAUGGCGUAAGCCAAGGCUGGAUUUUGGUCUUGUGCGAGGUAGUAGAGGCCAUUAUGUUGCUUGCCCAGGCCAAUCGUCUUCCUCGUAGUAGCGUCCUGCACAACACAAAAAUCGAAAAAAAACAUCACUAUACAUUGUAAUGCCCGCGUUAGUUUACUAACUGAUAGUAAAUUAACUUGAAAUUGUGGAACUUUGAGUACGUCAUCAAGUUUAAUGUGGGGGGUAACAUGCAAUGAACCAAUUGACUCAAUAUGUGCUUGACCACCAUUUGGCAAACUAAUGGUAGUGGUUUUGGGCAAAUUCUUCGGAUCUAAUAAUUCAGCUGAGGAAGUCACAUGAUCCGUGGCUCCGCUAUCAAUAAUCCAACACAUAUUUGAGUGUGGGCAAUUCGGAAUAAUUUUGGACGAUGACAUAUUUAUACCUGUGGCAUUUGCAAAAUGUUGUGAAUUACCACCGUUGUUUUUCCGAAUCAUAGCCAUUAAUUGGUUAUAUUCCUCAGUUGUGAGCCUUGGUCCAUCAUUUGUUGGAAGAAGUUUUGCUUCUGUCUCCACAGCCUUAUUUGUUUCCACUUUCACAUUGUUUGCAUUUGAGUGACGUUGAUUGGGAGGCUUCACGUUCUUCCCAUGGAGCUUGUGGCCAAUCGGAAAGCCAUGUAGGUAGUAACACUUCUCAAUGCUAUGAUAAUCACGGUCACAAUAAGAGCAGUGCAGUGGAGUCUUUUGCUUUUGAACCUGGUGUGCUGAAGUCGCCUUAUUGUCCCGAUCUGCAAGCAUGGCAUAAUGGUUCUUGUUCCCAUUAUUGAGAGAAACUUCAACCUGUUUUUCUUGUUGAAGGACAAGUGAGUAAACUCGGCGUGUAUCGGGUAGAGGGUGCAUCAAUAAGAUUUGUCCACGAAUGGCAGCAUAACUAUCAUUCAAUCCCAUGAGAAAUUGCAUAACUCUCUCUUUUUCAUCCCUUUCCUUAAGUUUCUCUAAUCCUCCACAAGAACAGGAUAACACUUCAUGAUAGGAUGAAAGUUCAUCCCAAAAAGCUUUAAGCUUUGUGUAAUAAACCGAAAUUGAUUGCUGCCCCUGCCUAUGCUCCACAAUGUCUCGCUUGAUUUGAUAAAUUCUUGAAUCGUUUCCUUGCGAAAAACGUUCUCGCAGAUCUGCCCAGAUUUCUGAUGCUGUUUCGGCAUAAAUCACACUGUUGGCUAUGUCUGGAUGAAUAGAAUUCAAUUGCCAUGAGAUCACCAUAUCAUUGCAACGUUGCCAAGAAGGGAAACUAUCAUCAGUCGAAGAGGGUGGCUUAAUGGAACCUGUGACGAAUCCAAUUUUGUCUUUAGCACUCAAACUGAUCCUCAUAGCCCGACUCCAUGUGCUGUAGUUAUCUCCUUCAAUUACUUUGGAGACAAGUACCAUACCCGGGUGGUCCGAGUGGUGUAGAGAGAAGGGAUCUAAAGCUUCUGUGGUAGCCUUAGAUGAUGUCAAUCCCGUUUUGUUGGCGUCCAUGGCAGCAGCUGUAACGAGGAAAUAAGUUGCGGAAGCGUUUGGAAGAAUUCAGAGUCACCAGGUUUGGUGCUCUGAUACCAUGUAAGAAAACAGAGUAGAAAUCUGGUGUAUAUUUCAUUCAUCAACUUAAAGGGAAGAAGAUACAUAUAUACAAAGUAUUGGUUAGCCUAUUUUAGGAAUCUAUGAGCAAACGUAUCAGUUACAAUCAAUCAAAAUAAUCUUCUAUAUACAAUCAAAUAUCAUCCUCAAAUUACGGGAUCCUUGAUUCCUUUCCCUUAAUACCCUUCCUUCAUUCCCAUUAUCCUUUUGUUAUGUAUUAAUCUUCGCUAGAUUUUGAGCCUCGUCUGGAUGUUUGGUUAUAGAAUGAAAGAAGCCAAAUAUUUAUUUGCAUUGAUACUAGAUAGCUCAUAUAGUUGUUGUUGAAAUAAAUUCCUUUGGAGGUUCCUAGUUUUGGUUUGGGACUGUAAGGUGGUGUUUGUUUUUUUGGCUUUUUGCUGAAAACCAUUUAGCUUUAGAAUUUAGGUUGUUUGUUUUUUUACUUUUUUAUGACUUAUUAUAAAUUUUUUACUAAAUAGAAAAAGCCAAAAAAUGUGGCUUUUUCUAAAUAGAAAAAAUAACACAAUGGUUUUUUUUACUUUUUAAUACUUAAUAGAAAUAAAAUACUAUAAAAACAAACAACCUAAUAUUUAAUACUAUUAAGUAUUAAGGUUCUAUUUAGAAUUAAGUAAAAAAACAAACACCACCUAAGACUCUGUUUUCCUGUUUACUGUGUGUUAUGUGUGUUAUGUGAGGACUUUGGUUGCCUUUGUUUGUUUGAAUCUGUUUAUACUCCUCCCACCAAUCUAAACCCCUCAUAUGAAACAUGAAAUGUGGCCUUCACCGUGUUUUUUUGGUUUACAUUCUUCAUGCUCUGUUUUCUUGGUCGUCUUCCUCUGUUUUCUAUGGGUAUUUUGGGUGCAUAGUUGUAUGUGCAUCACUAGUUGAUGGUGCUAGAGAAUGGCUUGCAUGGGUUGAAGGAGCAAUCCACUUUCCAUAGUGGAGAAUUGGCACUCGCGCACAGUCCUUAUUUUUUUUUAAAAGAGCAAGCGCACAGUUGAGAUGGUGAUAUUCACGCACAGCAGCCCGUUGUCAAUUCCAUGAAAAACUGGGAUGUAUCCUCAAGAAAUGAGUUGCGUAUCAAGAAGAACAGGAAAAGGAAAGCAAAAAUAGAAAAAGGAAGCAGAACAGGAAGAAGUGGGAACAGAGAGAGAGGUCUGAAGGGAAAUUCAAUGGAUAUCUUGAGGGGAAGAUAGCAAAAAUGCGGAUAAAAAAAAAUAAAAAAAAUCAGUCGAGGCUGACAAGGAGAAGCAUGAUGAUGCUGCCAAGGGAGUUUUGAAAAAAGCAAGGUUGUUACUCAUUGAGCCGGAACCAUUGGGAGGAUCGUGACACAUACAUACAGAAUCACAGUUUCGGACUCCGAGGAACAGAUCGGAUGAUCUGGAAGGCCCACAGUCUGUAUACAUGAUCAAUGUCCCUUGAAUGCAUGAUGAUGGGAGUGGUAUCCAUGAAGUCAUUACCAAUGGGAUUCAGAUUCAGGCCCACCGACGAGGAGCUCAUCAGCCACUACUUGAAGUUGUAGAUCGAAGGGUGUCAUUCGGAGGUGGAGGUUAUUCGGGAACUUGAUGUUUGCAAAUGGGAGCCUUGGGAUUUGCUUGGCUCCUCCACGAUCAAGACGGAUGAUCGGGAACGGUUCUUCUUCUGCCAUCGUAAUAGGAAGCACCCAAACAGCCGUCGUUCCAACCGGGCUACCGACGCCUGUUACUGGAAAGCUACUGGCAAGGGUCGAAUCAUAAACCACGGGGUUUUCUCUGCAACCACUAAUUUGGUUCUCAUCUCUCUGAUAUGGAGACUACUUCUGUGGCUUUCAAAUCCAAGGAGGAUCACCGAAAAUAGCUGGAAUUAGAGGAAGCCUGUGAAGCUGGGCUUGCACCAGCUGAGCUUGAUGAAGAUGGGAAAGAAAUCGACCCUCACAUUCCUCAGUAUAUGUCCUCAGUGCCUUGGUAUCUUAAUGCUGAGAGACCUAGUCUGAAACAUCAAAGGAAAUGAAUGUGAACUUGAUGAUUUGGAGAUUCUUAGAACGCUAGAGGAGGGACGUGAUUAUGUUUUAGUUCCUCAAGAAGUUUGGGAGAAGCUUUUUACUGGUAUAAAGGAGGACCGACAUUACCCAGAAAGAUGAAUCCUCAAGGUAUUACUCACAAGAAAUUCAUGGUGGAGAUUUAUCGACUAUGCCUUAAGUUAAUUGAUUUCAGCAUGAGCUUUAUGAGAGGGUGUGUACACUUAAAGAGGAAGCAACAGGUUGGUUUCUGUGCAUGAGCUUUAUGAGAGGGUGUGUACACUUAAAGAGAAAGCAACAGGUUGGUGGUCAAAACAUUAGUAUAUUGCACAACUUCGGUAGUCAAAGGGUGGACUUAGGUCCGGAUUGCAGCAGAAAACUUAUGCUUUUUUUUUAAAUGGGACUUUAAAUGGUGGGUCCCUUGGAAUCAGGGCUGAAAGAUAGUGAUAGUUAUGUAAGGAUGGUGGCAGCUUGUGGGGUUCUGAAAUUAUAUCACAUAUCAGCUUCAACACAUGUUGAUGCAGAUUUUCCAGCAAUGCUUAAGCAUUUAAUGCUUAACGAUCCAGAUACUCAAGUAGUUGCAAAUUGUUUAUCAUCUCUACAAGAGAUCUGGAGCAAGCAAGUACCUUUGAGGAAGCAUCUAGGGAGAGAGGGGCAAUAUGCAUUCAUUGAAGGAAGCGACCACCAUUCUGAUAUGAAUUCCCAAUUGGUGCACCUUGUUCAUGGUUGCCUUCCUACAAAAUACACAAGAUUUUGGUGGUAUGGAUGAUACUUUGUCAUCUCAGAUGCAGCUAUAAUAUCAAAUUACCUGUUAAGACCCCUUCUUAUUGAGAUUUAUUGAUUUAAAAUUGGUUUGUUAGAAAAGAAAUACCCAUCUUAGGUAUUAAAUGAUUUGAUCAUUGCUGUCAGUUUUCACUCAACCAUUGACCCUUUAAUUUCAAAAUUCGUUUCGGCAACUUUAGAAUAUUCAUAAAAAAUUUCCAAAACUUGUAUGAAUUUCCUUACUUCUUGAACUUGAAUUUAAAUUUUUGUUUGAGUUAGAAAGCCAUUCUAGAAUAGGAGGUAUAAACGAGUCUUUUAGGGGGCUCCUUUUCACCCAGUUCUAGACACUCGAGAUCUUUUUGCAAAAAUAAAAUACGAGACUACUUUUUAAUGGACGUCUAAGUUGGUAAUCUAUAUAUCAUGCAUGGGAAACUAUGGCCCAACAUACAUUUCUAGCUUCAUUGUCUAAUGUACACUUCUAGGCUCGUGCAAGGGAGAUGGUUAUCCAAAAUAUGUGAAUGUGAAGUUAACAUUUUUUAGUUUUGGUCAAUAUUACUGAAGAUAGUUAAUAUUAUUAUCAUCACUUGAAUCAUUGCUUAUUCAGAUGUAAGGGUGGUUCUCAUGUCAUUUGGUGGUGUUUCAAUGUUUGAUGAAUACCUUAUAACGACUUUUUGCUACAACUAUUGCACAUUUUCAAUUGAGUGUGUGUUCUAUUGUACUAUUGAUAAGUUUUUCAUAUAACAAUUUGAACACACAGGCAUGGUAUAUCAUAAUGCUAUCAUUCAUUGUAACUACCAUAUGAACCAUAUAUAAAUGUAUAAACAUAUAUGAAUAAUAUGUGUUUAUUUUUUAGUACCAAUUUCUUUACAAAAAGGUUUCAAUGUUUGUCAAUAGCACUCUUGAAACCAACUUAAAAACACAGCCCAUGCCAUACCAUUCACAAUCACCAACUUAAUAUUGGUCGACCAUGCUAAAUGAAGUGGUACCUUUAGUUGCCGUUAAUGUUACUUUUAGGUUAAUGUAGUGUUACUAUUAACAAUGUCUGUAUCUAGAAACAUAAACAUAAUCUUAAUAUUAUCCCACUUAGGUUUAAAGCACUGAGCUGACUGCCAAAUUAUGUCAUUGAAUGCUAAUUUACAUUGGAAUGGAGUAGUAGUCCAAAACAUGCAGCAUCAGAAUAUUUCAUAGUUUUUAUGGGAAAGUAUAUAUCAUUACCAAAUGGACAUAAUUUGUUAACAUCAAAAUAAAAUUGAAAACAUGUUGCUUUUAAAGAAAAGCAGCCAUACAAUUAUUUAAAAAAAAUGAAAUAUCCGUUAUAAACAACUUAAUGUUGUCCAAUCCGUGUAACAUUAAUGACAUUUUCAUUCUCCACAGGCAAAAGCCAUGGAGGUCGUUCGAAUUCUUCUUAGACAGAUAUAUGUUAAUACCAUUGAUGCUUCAUGCCAUGUCUUCACAAUGCCUCCUUUCUUUUGUGUCAUUGAUUGAGGAUGAUGUUUCUUUAGAUACCGAAGAUUUUAUUAAUACACUAUGAAGACAAGAAUCUGCAUAAAUUAAACAACGAAAAAUGUCAUACAGAUGAACAUUCACAAAUAAGUCAUAGUAAUAAAGCAAACUAAUCUUUUGUAUUGUUGCCACUGAACUUGUAUGUGGUAAAUGACACCAAAGAAGAUGAUCUACAUAGGCCUCCAUUUGGAGCUACUAGUUUAAUUUGUUCUCUCACCAUUUACAUGGGAGGAAUAUCAGUAAAAUGUCGCUUUUACAUUACCAUUGUUAUACCUUUCACUUAAACAUGCUUAGGUGGCAAUCCCCAGUCCAAAUUAUGGAACAUCAAAAAAGAAACCAAGCCCAAAGUCAAUCCCAACCCCAACUCACAUGAGCUUAGUACAUCAUUUAACCAACGGUUUUACAUUUGUUGGUACAUUAUUUAACCAACAAUGUUACUUUAAGGCCAAAAUGGUGUUACAUUUAUGUCACAUUUAUUGUAUCGUUAACUUAUAUAAGGAUUGGAUGACAUGACCUAGUCCAAAUCAUGUAGAAUGCCAACUAGGAAUGAAUUCCUACAUCAAUCUACAACCCAACUCACAUGAGGAUGGUACAUCAUUGAACUUAUAGUAAUACUUUAAUGCCAAAAACAAUGUUAGUUUAUGCCAAAACCACUAUUACAUUUAUAUUAAAAUUGUUUUACCUGUUGCUAAUAUGGAAGAAUUGUGUGUACUCCCAUUGUCCAAAAAAAAAAAAAAUGAUGAACCACAAACAAAAACUAAGUCAAUCUACACCUCAAAACACAUGAGGAUGGUACAUCAUUCAACCAAUGAAGGUACUUUAAGCCCAACACAGUGUUACUUUAAGACCAAAACACUGCUACUUUUACAUUACAAUUAUUGUACCCUUCAUUAUUUUCUGAAUACUACAUGUUUACAUAAUUCCCCCUCAAAACAAUGUAAUUGAUAAUGGAAAAUAAGUAACUUAAACUCAAGUGCAAAGUGAAAACCAACUCUAUGCUCAUAAUGCAAACCAAAUUGAUCCAUGCCAGAAUCGAUCUCAUAAAAAGUUCUACAAUGAAUAAUUUAAAUUGGUCGUUUCAUAAGCUUAACAUUACAAAAGCAAAAUUGCCAAUAUCACAACUAAUCCAUAAGUUGUUCAACUUCAAUAAGUAUUUUGAAAACUAACCCCAAAAUAAUCAAACAACAUCUCUUCAUAACUCUCUAUAAAAAGGAAGACCUAAUAUUGAAAGGAAAUUUAAUUCUCUAAGAGCAUUUUAGUUUCUUCUUCUUGUAAUUCUUCUAUUAUAUAACAAAACUUAUUUUUGUAUAUUACACCUAAUUUUCUUUUUUAUUUAUUUAUUCCUUAACCUUUAAUUUUCCCACAUAUCUUAAUAUAGCCUUGCAUCAAUUAAGCAUAGAUUAGCUAAAUAGUAAAAUAAUAGGUAUAAUAUAUUUAUAUCACUAUGGUAUAAACUUAUAGUUUAUGUUUUGUUUUACAUUAAAAAAAUGUAAUUAAAAUUAGUUAAAAAGUGAUGUAUUUUAAAAUUAUUUCAUCUUUAUAUAAAAGUUUUAAAAUAUGUAAAAAAAAAAAAAAAAAAAGACUGAGUUUGAAAUAACAUAUAAAAAUAUAAAUCCAAAUUGAUUCCAUUCAUUCUCCUUUCAUUUUGUGAUUUUGCAUUAAAGAAGCUCAUCCCAACAACCUCACAAAUAAUGCUUAUGAAAAAAUAAAAUAAAAUUAAAGGCAUGAUGAAGUGAAAAGAGGAACAUCCCAAUGAAUGAAGCAGAGAGCAAAGUUCUUAUCUUGAUUUCCAGUUGAUGUUUUUUCCCUGUUUUAGCUCCUUAAACUUUUCCUUUCAACUCCACAGCAAAAUGCUCUGAAUUUUCACCUUCUCUCCCCCAAUGCUCUCUUGGAUUUAUGAAAAUAAUCCCAUUAGUUUCCAAAGAGUCAAGCCUUUUCGCCAUUUUUUUUCUCCCAUGGAAUAAUUUUCCAACCUAUACUUUUAGUCAAAUAAUAAAGAGAAAAAUAAAUCUUGAAUUUAAAUAAUAAAAAGGCUAUAAAUUCAUUAAAUCUAUUUUUAAAAUAUUUUAAAUUUAAAUUUAACUACUUUUUACCUUCAAAGUUUUAAUGAGAAAGUGUUUUUAACCUAUCCCAUUGCUUUCUUACUCUAUCUUUCUCUAUUUUCAGCUUUCUUUCUCUAUAUUUCUCUAUUUUCAUUCGUCAACCUUGGAAAAAGACCUGAUUUUGAAUAUCGUCUUUGCUUCCUUAUCUUUCAAUCUUUGUUAAUUAUGUAAUUGUGUAAAUAAUUAAUUUAAGAAGAAAGUUUUUUUCAUUACUCAUGACAUGAAAUGAUAAAAAAAAAAAAAAAAGUAAUUAUAUGAAUAGCAUAUGAAAGGUUAAUCUCUUCUUAUGAAGGUAUAUGAUCAUAGUAAUGGAAUGUGAAAUCCAUUCCAUCUUCAACUUGCAUGAGAUUGCAUUAUUACAUGCCAAAAUCUAUUUAUAGCCAAAUAGAAAAACAGUCUAAGCUACUUCUUGGGACGCACCCAUGGGAGCACUUUUUUUUUUUCUUUAUGUUAGGAUCAAACACGGGUUCAAAUCUUCUUGUAAGGUUGGAAAUCUUGCGAAGAAGCCUACAAUUUUGAAGGUUGGGCUUAGGAUUUUGGAUCGAAACUUUCAUUUAUCUUCAAUGGUAUCACUGGGUAUGGUGCUUAAGCCAAAGUCAUUUCUGGAUCAACUACUGUUUUUGACAAUCCUUUCAAAUUAGAGAGAGAAUAAUCUUGUGCACUAGAGUAACUUAUACACAUGGCCCCAUUCAAUCAAUUUCAUUGUUCUAAGAUUUAAAAAUUCCAAUUUAUUUUCUUUUUCUUUACAUUAAUUUUCUAAACAAAUAAGCAGUUUCUCAUCUUCUACUUUUAUGAAAUCAACCAAAUCUCAAACAGAGCACCUACAAAACCACAAAAAAAAGAAAGAGAUCGAAAAAGUGAAAAAUUGCCAAUUCAAGCUUCCUUUCAAUACAAAAGCGUUGAAUCUAUAUUUAUCAUCAUCUUCAAGUUUUAUGGCACAGGCUGACAAGAGACUAAUGAAAGUAAAACAGAAGCUCUAACAAGAUAAUCAGAGCUUGGAGCUCAAGUUUGUAGACAUGGAAGCUCAUGUGCAAUGGAAAAGAUGAAAAUGCCUGGUGAUGAUCCAGCAAUGCACUAAUCGAGGCUUGUGGGGAUUGGAGAAGAUUGUUGUGUCUUCCUUUGAGCUUUUGCAUUUUGAUUUUGAAUUUCGUGGAGAUUAAGGGAUUGUUUCCUGGAGAAAGAGGUUGGAGAAAAAUAAAUGAUGAUGUUGCCAAACAAUCUUUACAAAUAAUAUCUAUUUUUGCAUUUUUCUACAAGAAUUUUACCUGACGGUUGUGUAUUAUCUAAUGGCUCCACCACUCCCAAGUGCCAAACAAUCUAAUGAAGCGUGUAGAGUGAGAAACUAGAGAGAAAUUAAAUAUAAUCAAAAUACAUCAAUAGUUAACAUAAUGUUUCAAAUAGAAAAUAAAAUAAUAUAUUGAGAGGCAAACUCAAACAAUCACAAUGCACAUUUGGACUUGGCCAUGUUUAUAUUAUGAAAAUUUUUAAAUACAAUUAUAUAUAUAAAAAAAAAAGGAAGAAAAAGGGAUUUUACCUAUAAUAAGACGAAUGCAAUGGGUGCUCAAAUCUUGCCUCAAAUUUUUGAGGGUUGAAAAUAUGGAGUGAGGUUGUGCAUAAUGGUUUGAUUCUCCCAAUCCAAACCAUCCCACCAUUCUUGGUCUCCCAUGAUUUUCUCUAAUUUCUUGCUCACUCCAAUAUUGGAAUCAAAUGGCAGCUUCCUCAAACUUGAACAUCCAAGCAUAAGAAUGUGUCUUAAAGAUGGAAAAAGUAGGGCACGUCCAUGUAUACUUCUUAGCUUUGGUAGAUAAACUAAGGUGAGAGAUACGAGUCUCGAGAAUACGCCCAAAUGAUCUACUUCAACAAUUUCUAAAACUUCACUCCUUUCAUCAUCUAUCACUUUUUCCAUUGAUUCACAGAAUUCAACACUUAGCAAUUGAAGGUUUGGAGCAUAAAUAAGCCAUGUCAAAUUCAACAAUUUAUGACAUCCAAAUAUUUCGACAUCACAAAGGUUGUUCAAGCAUUGGUGCCUUGGGAAUUUUGAGUAGACCACCACUUCCUUUUCAAAAUUGAUUUUCACAUCUUGCAAUUCAACACAAUUUGUAAUACGGAGUGUCUCUAUAUAAAGGGAUAGUUGGACUAGGUUCAUACGCUUACAAACUAAUUGUAGCCAUCUUGUGGAUCUUUGCAACUUGUGGGAGUUAAAUAAUGUUUGGAUGGUUGAUACACUUGUAAGGUUGAUGGAUAUAUCAUCAAUGUGUUCCAACUGCUCUAACUCUUCUAAUAACUUUCCUUCAUGAUCUCCUGUAAAGUCUGACCCUACAAUCGUUCUAUACAUGCUGAACAGUUGCAAAGAGGAAAGACUCGAUACCAUUUGAGAUGGAAGUGACUUGAGCAAAUACAUAUCAUUCAAUAUCAAGCACCUUAAUUUUUUCAAGUUUUUGAGCUCCAUAGGUAAGUAUUUUAUACUUAGACCUGACAAAUUAAGAUAUUGCAAAGUAACUAAGUUUCCAAUCUCCAUUGGUAACUCUGUGAGUUCAAAAUUGUUUGACAAGUCCAAAACUCUUAUAAUAGGCAUGUUUGUAAAGAAUCUAUUUGGAAAUGACCGAAUAAACUUACGAGAUGCCAAAAAGGUCUCCAUAUUAGGGAAAUAUGGUGGUUCCCCAAGUUCUUCAAUGUUGGUAUCCCACAAUGAUAUCCUCUGUGUCUCUUUCCAUUUUUCAACUUCCUGAGCUCUAAUCGAUUCAACUCCAUCUUUUACCACAAAUUUGUUCUUCUUCUUCCCGUUUUCGCGAGCCAACCACAAAGCCAUAUCACGAAUAACAUCAUGCAUCUUCGAAUAUUCGUCUUUUUUAUCUAAUCGAGAUCUGCCAUUCUCUAAUAGACAUGCAAGUUGUAAACUUUUAAUAACUUCUUCUCCUUGAUAUCUUGCUUCUUGUAUGUUGUCAUAUUCAUCCAGAAAACCCUCCCCGAUCCAAAGUUGUAUAAGAUUUCGAUGAGAGAUUUCAUAAUCCUCCGGAAAUAAAGAGCAAUAUAGGAAACAUGAUUUGAUGGCUUCAUCGGGUAGGCGAUCAUAACUGAAUGCCAAGCGUGAAAACAAAUGAUUCUCCAUACCUGGAAACUUUGCCGGAUAAUUCUUCAACAUUUGUAUUUUUUUCUCCCAUUCUUCUGGUGUUUUUGUUCCCGCCAUUGCUCGCCCUAUGGUGAUGAGGGCAAGUGGUAAGCCGCAACACUCUUUGGCAACCAUCUCCGCCAGCUUUGGUAUAUCUGGAUGAGAAUUUAUGGUGUCUGCUCCCACCUUGGUCUGAAACAGAGCAAAAGCAUCCUCCCAUGGGAGACAAUUCACUUCAAUGCUCUCUGUAACUUCCAUAUCUUGGCACACAUCUUUAGAUCGCGUUGUAAGUACCAUCUUCAACUUAUCUUGAGGAUUCAGAGGAGGAAUACCAACUUUGGAUAGAUCCAGCCGCUCCCAUAUGUCAUCUAACAAAAGCACAAAUUUCUUUGUCUUCAGGACAUUGAAUAUUUCUUCUGCCCUUUCAUCCUCACUUCUACCUUCCCAUUUAUCUUGGGGAAUCUCCACUUUAUUGAAAAGAACUCGCUGAACCUUUUCCACAUUGGCUGGUCUGGACACAGUCACCCAAAUCACUGCAUCAAAUUCAAGCCUGGUUUUGAGGAGCUCAUUGUUGAUCCUGGUCAAGAGGGUGGUUUUGCCCACACCCCCCAUUCCAUAUAAUCCGAUACUGCUUACCUGCUCUCCACCAUCUUGGAGCCAUUUCCAGACCUUCCCAAACAACAAAUCUUGGCCCACAGUCUUGUCAAGCUGCCUCUCCAUCACGGGAGGACUAGGCAAAGGUUCAGCAACUACACUGAAAUUUGAGCCCUCCGUCUUCUUUACCGUCACAGCAUCCAUCUUUUCAAGUACCAUCUUGCCAAGAUUGUAGCUAGCGCCACAGUUUUUAGGACAACAGGUUCCGAGAUAUUUCUUCUGGAUUUCUUCAUCACCUUUCGCCAAUAUUUCCUUCACUUGUUCUUCCAUGGCUUCUACAUUGCGGAGCCAGCCAUCGACUACAUGAGUACACUUCUUCUGAAGUUUCUCUUCACGUUCCACCCGUUCCUUCACAUCUUCGUAUAGGUUCUUGAGUUCCUCCAUUGCAGUUCUCAAAGAGUUGAGAUUUUGUGGGAGAUGACGGAUGUAAACAGCACGCUUGGCAGUGCAAUACCACAAGCGAGUAGUGACAUCCAGGAUUGGGCUCACACAAUCCAUGGAGAAAACCAGAACUGGGAUUCAAAGCCAAGAAGAACUUAAUCAGAAUGGGAAAACAGGUGCUGGAUUGAAGUUGGAGAGGAAAAGAGAAGAAUUCUGGAUUUAUGUUUGUUAUGUGCAAAACCUAGCAAAGUUGAAGAUGAAAUAUCACAUUUUUUUUUUUCAAGUAAAAGACUCAGCAAUCAGCAUAAGGGUUUUUGAUUGGCUACAUAAGGGUCCACCACUAGUGAUAUUUUCCUAUUCUUUUCUUCCUUUUGUGUUUCCAUCAAUCAAGCUUAGUAAAGGGUCCACAGCACUUCUGGUUUCCUCUUUUCCUUUCAUGGGAAUCUUUUUCUUCCAAUACAUAUGAAUUCAUUUAGAUAUAAAGUUUGUGUAGUGCAUAUAAUUCUUCACCACUGUUUUUGAAAUAUAAUUAUUUUCUCUUGGUACGUUGAGAUCCAUUUUAUUAGUAAUUUAGGAAUUUAGUAGGUUUCUUUCAUCAUUCCGAAUACGAAUUUAUUAGGAAUUUAGGAAUUUUUUUGUAAUCCCAUUCCAAGUUUGUGAAUUCAUUGGUUUUUGAAUUUUUGAUAAUAUAAAUAAAGAAAGUUUGUGUAUUUAUUUUUGAGAAAAUAAUUUUUAUUUAUUUGAGAAACCAAUACAUUCAAAUUGCUCAUUAUAACCUACCUUGACUAUUGUGGAUUAGGGUAGACAUUUUAACCUGCUAUAAUAACAAUCAAGAAUAUAAGAGGAAAGUGACAAACUAAUAGAGAGAGAAGUCAUGCAAAUAAAUCACUUAAACUCAGUAAGUCCACCAUGCUAGAAUUCCCAUUUCUCAGUUAGGAAAGCAAAUAAAGAAAAAAAAAAAAAAAAUCAAAUGCACAACUAAUUAAAUACCAAAUUUUUCCUUAACUCAAGUUCCAGUUUGAACCUUUUACUAUCCCAACAAAAUCGUUAUUUUGUCUAUCGGUAUAUUUUAUUUGCAACCUUGCUUGAUGACUAAAUUAUCUUCUAUUAGAAAAACACUUUUAAAGGUUAAUUAUGUAUGCUUUCUCUUUCGUUUAUAAUUUUUUUUACUAGUAUUAAUGAUUAAUUCUCUUUUAUUCACGGAUAUAAACAUAAUUAGUUGAACUCACUUUUUUUAUGUUUACAUUUACUUUUGUCUGUAUGUUAUUACACUAAUAUGUACUUGAUAUUGAAUUUUUUUUAACAUAACAAAUAUAUAUACACUCAAAUUACAUAUCCAAAAUCGAAAUGAGUUCACAUUUGGGUUGUGGAAGAAAAAAAAUUCUAAAAAAAUUGACCAAAGGCAUUGUGGACUCUUUACAAAGUUUGGUGGUUCAUAAAGGAAGAAAAUAAGUAAGAUAUGCUCAAAUUACAUAUCCAAAAUUCAAAAUGAGUUCAAAUUUUGGUUAUGGAAGAUUUUUUUUUUUUUUAAAAAAAAAAAUGAGCAAAGACAUUGUACCCAUUAAAAUUUUGGUGGUUCAUAAACGAAGAAAAGAAGUAAAGAUAUACUCAAAUUAUGCAUCCAAAAUUCAAAAUGAGUUCACAUUUGGGUUAUGGAAGAAAAAAAAAGAGCAAAGACAUUAUGGACCCUUUACAAAGUUUGGUGGUUCAUAAAGAAAUAAAAGAAGUAAAGAUGUGCUCAAAUUAAAUAUCCAAAAUUCAAAACGAGUUCACAUUUGGGUUAUGGAAAAAGUAAAAAUUCUAAACAAAAUUAGCAAAGUCAUUGUGUACCCCUUACAAAGUUUGGUGAUUCAUAAAGGAAGAAAGAAGUAAAACACCGAAAGUGCGGAUUCUUUGGUAACAUUUUUCAAGACAUUCAUUCGCAUCAUAUAUCAUUUAUUAAGGAAGAUUGCCAAAAUCAAGAUCAAGUCAAACCUUCAUGAUUUCAGCCUACAAUCAAGCCAUUUGAAUAAAGUCUUUGAUCUGUUUCUAUUUAUGUGAUUAUUAGCCGAGAUUGGUGUAUAGUUAUUUUGUCAUAGUAAUUGCUAUAAAUAUUUCCUAAAAUAGUUCUCUGUGAUGUUGUAUAUAUUUACGUACAGAUCAAUUGAAUAAUAGAUGAAGAAAUAGUUUAUUUAAUCCAGCAGUAUAUUUCUCUAUAUGGUAUCAGAGCAACCCUUCUCCAACGAGUCAAUCCCUCCCAUUUCCCCAAUGUCUUCCUCACCCGAACAACCUCAAAUUCAUCUCAACACCCACCCCAUUUCCUCCAUUGAAACCACUCUUGUUGCUCUCAAUAUCACUGCCCAGAUUAAUGAAAAAUUGACUCCUUCUACUUUUCCUCAAUGGCGUGCUCAAUUUGAAGCCUUACUCAUAGGAUAUGAUUUGCUUGAUUAUGUCACCGGCAUCUCUCAAUGUCCCUCUCCGAGUGAUCUCUCUGUUUCUGCCCUACACAAAACUCAUUGGGUUCGGCAAGACAAACUUAUACUCAGUGCCCUUCUUGCUUCCACUUCCCCUACCAUCACCCCACUCAUUGCAACAGCAAAAACGUCCCAUGAGGCUUGGCAAAAAUUGAACACCCUCUAUGCUAGCAAAUCACGAACUCGGGCUAUGUAAUUAAAAGAGGAACUCACCUUAAUACAGCGUGGAAAUCGGCCUAUCUUUGAUUAUCUACAUGCUGUGAAGUCUCUGGCAGAUGAAAUUGCCAUUAUUGACCACCCCAUUUCUGAUGAUGACCUAACCCUCUAUGUGCUUAAUGGCUUAGGUUCUGAUUUCAGGGAAAUUGCAGCACCAAUCCGAGCUCGCGAAAAGUCUCUUGCCUUUGAGGAGCUCCACGAUCUUCUGGUCGGCCACGAACAUUAUUUGCGUCGCCUUGAAACUGCUACUCAGCAACUGGUAGCCGCUGCAAACUAUACAACCAGGAAGUCUGGUUCUUCGGGAGGUCAACAACGCAGCUAUAGGAAGCCGAAUGGGCCUCAGCGUCAGUCUGGGCAAGCUCCAGCCCGAAGUGGAAAUCGUGAUGGUCGACGUCCCAAUGGUUCCAAUCGGCCCAGCAACAACCAGCGGCCUUAUAGGCCCAAAUGCCAAUUCUGUGAUGAGUUGGGCCAUACGGCCAAAAAUUGUCCUCAGCUGAAGCCCAGUGAAAUUACUGCAAACAGUGCAACAACUUCUACCAUGAAAGAGCAAAAAUGGCUCCUUGAUUCCGCUGCCUCCCACAACAUCAUUGGUGAUCUUCAGAAUUUAUCUAUUCACUCCGAAUAUGACGGCACCGAUGAAGUGGUUCUGGGUGAUGGUUCAGGUUUGGCUGUUUCACAUGUUGGUUCUUUAGCUAUACACUCACCCAAUCGAACCUUUAUCUUGCGUGAUACUAUCUGUGUUCCAAAUCUUAAAAAAAAUUUGAUUUCUGUUCAUCAUUUUACCUCACAAAAUAAUGUAUAUGUUGAGUUUCACCCAUCUUAUUUUCUUGUGAAGGAACUGAUCACGGGGGCGAUCCUACUAAGAGGUUCAUGUGAGAACGACAUUUACAUUUUUCCGGAAUCACUUGUGGGAAAUUUUUCACAAAAGGUUGCUAAUGUGCAUGAACGGACGUCGCUUGAUGGGUGGCACAAGCGUCUUGGUCAUCCUUCCUAUCCCAUUGUUAAAAAUCUUGUUUCUACUUUUUCUCUUCCUACCACUACAAAUAAAAUGUCCAUGUUAUGUCGUUCUUGUUCUAUUAAUAAAUCUCAUCAACAACCUUUUCGCACAACUAGUCUUUCGAGUACUGGUCCACUUGAAAUUAUUUAUACGGAUGUUUGGGGUCCCGCACACUCAAUGGGUCUUGAUGGCUCUCGUUAUUAUCUUCUUUUUGUGGACCACUACACGAAAUACAUGUGGUUUUAUCCCAUGGCUACCAAAUCGAGUGUGUCAACUAUUUUUCCACAAUUUAAAAUUUUUGUUGAAACUCGGUUUCAAGCCAAAAUUAAAACCCUUUACUCUGAUAAUGGUGGUGAAUUUAUUUCUCUCAAACCUUUUUUAAAUCUUCACGGCAUUAGUCACUAUACUACUGCUCCUUACACCCCGCAACAAAAUGGAGUCUCUGAACGCCGUCAUCGACAUCUUGUUGAAACUGGCCUCACCUUACUUUCGGAUGCUUCCUUGCCUCUUUUAUAUUGGCCUCAUGCUUUUCGAACUGCCACCUAUCUCAUAAAUAGGCAACCGACUCCUCUUCUCACCAACAAGUCCCCCUUUGAGGCUCUUUUUGGACAUAAACCAAAUUAUCUUAAAUUAAAAAAAUUUGGUUCGCUUUGCUAUCCCCUUACACGUCCAUAUAAUAAUCACAAGAUGCAACCUAAGUCCAUUCCAUGUCUUUUUUUGGGCUAUUCUCAAACUCAAAAUGCCUAUAUUUGUUUGGAUCUUAAGACCCACAAAACUUAUGUGUCUCAUCAUGUGUUAUUUGAUGAGACCCAACUGCCUUUUCAAUCCGAGCAAGCCCAGAGCCCAGCCUAACCCGAGUCUUCUUCUCAUCUGUGCCCUACUUCCUUUAUUCCAUUGUCUUCUCAGCCCGUGCGAGUUCCUCCUCAAGUGAUUCCGUCCGUGCACUCUUUUGGCUCGGCACCAUCACAUGUGCUUCCGGCCGAUGUUUCUACUGCAUCUCCAUCACCUCCAGGUAACCCCCCUCUCUCUUCUCCUAAUUUUCCUUUGACUGAUGUUCUUAGAAAUUCCGGUUCUCAUUCGGAUGUUCUCAUCUCGCAUGACCCUGUUCUUCCUUCCUCCCUUCAUCUGACUCACACACACACGGUUGUUGAUCUUACUUUAUCUCAGUCCCAUUCCAUUCCCCCUUCGUGUGUUCAAACUGGGAACCCUCGUCUCCACAAAAUGACAACCCGUUCCAUGAACAACAUCUUUAAACCCAAGCAACUUCAUUUGGUUUCCAAACAUCCCAUUCCUCUAGCAAUUGAGCCAACUUGUGUGACUCAAGCCGUGAAUCAUCCUCAGUGGCGUGAUGCUAUGUCCAUUGAGCUCACUGCCUUGAUGAAACAUGGAACCUGGGAUUUGGUUCCACACCCCCCCCCCCCCCCCCCCAAAACUGUACACCUGUGGGCUGUAAAUGGGUGUUUAGAGUAAAACACAAAGCUGAUGGCUCGGUGGACAAAUUUAAGGCCAGGCUUGUGGCCAAAGGCUAUACUCAAAGACCGGGCCUAGAUUACAAGGAAACCUUCAGUCCUGUUGUUAGGCCAGCCACUAUUCGAUGUGUUUUGACUAUAGCCGUGAUGAAUGGGUGGCCUUUACGCCAAAUGGACAUCAACAAUGCUUUUUUACAUGGAACCCUCACAGAAACUGUUUAUAUGAUGCAACCUCCAGGGUUUAAAGAUACCAGUAAGCCUGAUCAUGUGUGUCGAUUGAGAAAAGCCAUUUAUGGGCUUCGACAGGCUCCUCGAGCUUUGUACACAACUCUGAGAACUGCUCUUUUUCAGCUUGGGUUCAAAAAUUCCAAAGCUGAUUCUUCUCUAUUUAUUUAUACACAUGGUCCUAUCAUUUGCUAUUUUUUGGUUUACGUUGAUGAUCUUGUAAUUACUGGCAAUGAUAUUCAGUUUGUGGAUCACAUAAUUCAGAAAUUGGGUGAAAUUUUUUCCCUAAAAGAUAUGGGAAACCUUAGCUUCUUUCUGGGAGUAGAGGUUAUUCCUACUCGUGCUGGUGUGUUCUUGUCACAGCAUCAAUACAUUCGUGACUUAUUGUCCACAACGAAUAUGCUUGGUGCUAAGGAUGUGUCCACUCCUUUAUCCACAACUGCUUCUCUGAAAUUGUUUGAUGGCACAACACCUGUUGACAGCACUGACUUUCGGCGUGUCAUUGGUAGUCUUCAGUAUCUUUCACUGACCCGACCGGACAUUUCGUUUGCUGUGAAUAAGCUAUCUCAAUUCAUGCAUAAGCCAACUACAGCCCACUGGACAGCCACGAAGAGACUGCUUCGUUACUUGAAACAAACCAUUUUUCAUGGUAUUCAGCUUACUAGAAACACAACUUCAGUUUUAACCACGUUCUCUGAUGCUGACUGGGCAGGGAAUGUGGAUGACAGAACCUCUACUUCGGCUUAUAUUAGUUUUCUUGGCACAAAUCCCAUUUCUUGGAGCUCCAAGAAACAACGAGCUGUUGCUCGCUCAUCGACGGAAGCUGAAUACCGUGCUCUUGCCAAUGCUGCGUCUGAAACUGUGUGACUGAACUCCUUACUUCAUGAACUCGGUUUUCCACUCAAGGUGCCUCCCUUGUUGCUAUGUGACAAUCUUGGCGCCACGCAUCUGAGUUUUAAUCCAGUUAAUCAUUCUCGCAUGAAGCAUAUUCAGAUUGAUUUACACUUUGUCCGAGAGCUUGUUCAAAAUGGGACCCUUCAUGUUCGUCAUGUUCACACGCAAGAUCAACUUGCUGAUCUCUUGACAAAACCCUUGUCACGACAACGGACUGAAUUGUUACGUACCAAGAUUGGUCUUGCCGAUGGAAGCUCAAUCUUGCGGGGGCGUAUUAAGGAAGAUUGCCAAAAUCAUGAUCAAGUCAAACCUUCAUGAUUUCAGCCUACAAUCAAGCCAUUUGAAUAAAGUCUUUGAUCUGUUUCUAUUUAUGUGAUUAUUAGCCGAGAUUGGUGUAUAGUUAUUUUGUCAUAGUAAUUGCUGUAAAUAUUUCCUAAAAUAGUUCUCUGUGAUGUUGUAUAUAUUUACGUACAGAUCAAUUGAAUAAUAGAUGAGGAAAUAGUUUAUUUAAUCUAGCAGUAUAUUUCUCUAUAUCAUUUGUGUCUUUUUAGUCAUUAUUAAAUGUUGGGCAUCAUUCAUGACUCAUGACCUAUAUGAAGAGUGCUUUUUUUAUUUUUUAUUUUUAUAAAUAUAAUGUUCUAAAUAAUAAAUAUUACUAACAUUUUACAAAAAGAAUAUUUACUUGUUCAUUUGUAAUUAAUUUUUAUUUUUUACUUUCGUUAAUUUUUUGUGAGACGAUAUUUUGAUAUCCUCAACAACUCAAAUUAGUGAAACAGGUGAUGGACAGGAGUUGGAGAGGUGAAGAGAAGAAUAUUGGGUUUAUGUUUUUGUGUUCAAAACCCAGAAAAGAUGAUAAUGAAUAAAGAGUAAAGUAAUAGUGACAUUGUCUUCCAUACAGACUGUCAAGCUCUCUUUUCUUUUAACGGGAAUCUUUUUCUUCCAACACAAAUAUGAAUUCAUUUACAUAUAUGAAGUUUGUGUGUACUGUCUUGUAACUUUAAAACUGUAAGUAGCAGUGCAGAUAAUUCUUCAUCCGUUCUACUGUUUAGAAAUAUAAUUCUUUUUUCUUGAUAGGUUGAGAUCAAUUUUAUUAGUAAUUAUUUACGAAUUUUUUAGGUUUCUUUCAUCAUUCCGAACACGAAUUUAUUAGGAAUUUAGGGAUUUUUUCGUAAUCCCAUUCCAAGUUUUGGAUUAUCAAACAUGGGUACAUGACCGGAGGAGAAUUAAUUGGUUUUUGAAAUUUUAUGAUAUACAUAAACAAAAUUUUGUUUAUUUAUUUUUGGAGAAGUAAUUUUUAUUUAUUGAAAAUUUGAUUUUUAUUUAUUUGAAAAACGAGGAUAUUCAAAUUGUUGAUAGUUAGGAAGUGUCCCAAAUUCCUAAUUAGUAUAGAUUCUUUUUUUGUAAAUAAUAUUAUAUAGAAUAUUUCUAGGUUGAUAUAUUAUUGUAAUAUUAGACUUCCUUACAGAAUAAGGAAGGUUGUUGGAAAUAUCUCUAUAAAUAUUCUAGGUCAUGAGGGGAAAAAGUUAUGAGAUGGAGAUGGACCUGUAGAGACUAUACGAGGUGGAUAGAGAUGCGAGGAAGAACGAGAGGUACUCUAUGGAGCAAGAGGGCUCGUAGUAGGGUAUGGAUACAAGGAGUGGGGAAACAUGUGAUGUUUCGGGAACCCAAUAGUUGUAUUUGGUUCUGUCCUCUGUAAUAUUCUCUAUUGUAUAGUGGAAUCAUUCUCUCUCAUCCGUGGACGUAGGCAUGGUUGGCCGAACCACGUUAAAAUCUCAUGUACCGUAUGUGUGAUUGUUUUAUCUUUGUGUUCUUGAACUAACAUUGUUGGCAUCAAGGCUUUCGCUGGCCCUACAAUUGGUAUCAAAGCUUGGGUUGAAGAUUUCUGAAAGAGUAAAAGAUCACAAAGCACACAAGAUGAAAACAAAAGGAAUUUUCACUGAAGGUGGAGUCGAUUGCUCUUUCGUGGUGAUAUGAUACUAAAAGGUUUGUGUCAUGGAGAGAUUGAAGAUUAACUUCAUGGAAUUUACUCAAAGGUGGAGAUUGUUAGGAAGUGUCCCAAAUUCCUAAUUAGUAUAGAUUCAUUUUUUGUAAAGAAUAUUAUAUAGAAUAUUUCUAGGUUGAUAUAUUAUUGUAAUAUUAGACUUCCUUAUAGAAUAAGGAAGGUUGUUGGAAAUAUCUCUAUAAAUAUUCUAGGUCAUGAGGGGAAAAAGUUAUGAGAUGGAGAUGGACCUGUAGAGACUUCCGUAUGUGUGAUUGUUUUAUCUUUGUGUUCUUGAACUAACAUUGCUGGCAUCAAAGCUUUCGCUGACCCUACAUUGAUUAUAACCAAAUAUCUAAUUACAAGAAAAAAAAUAGAGAUUAAUAAAAAGAUAAAAUUGCAACCUCUCUCUCAAUUAAGAUGAAAGAAUAUAAAAUCUUACAAAAUGAUGAAAGAAAACUUUAUUUUAAUGAAUAGUAAGGGAUGGAGACCUCCUUUUAUAGCGUAGGGAAACUCUCCCCCCCCCCCCUCCCCCCCUCCCCCUUUGUCUUCUAAACGAGAUGGGAUGACUUCAACUUUGACACGAUACACUUAGAAAUGUAAUGUUGGAAUAAUUAUUUAUUUAUAUUUCAAUGUUAAGUAACAAUAAAAAUGAGAAUAAAAAAAAUAAGUCGACAAUAAUAUUCAUACGCUUAGUUUAAAAUAAUUUUUUAUUUUUAGGACAUCUAAUAGUGGUUUAAAAUCAUAUUUCUUUUUUACUAUAUUUUGUUAUGAUAAUAGUAAUUAACUCCAAAAACAAUGUAAGUUCAUUUGUAUAUUUGUAUAUAGGUUUAUUUGAGCAUCUAAAAAUGGUUAAUUUGGAUAUAUUUUUACGAUAGAGAAUUCUCUAGCUAAGAAGUCUUCUCUUAUGUACUUGUUUGCACAUUUAUAAUUAUUUUUUUUAGAGGAAAGAAAAUAGUGAGAAAAUUAUAAGGAAAAAAAUUUAUAAAAAUAUUCUCUAUUUUGAUGUCCAUUAAAAAAUUGAAGGAAAUAAAAUUAAGUUAUUUAGAAAUACACUUUACUCACCUUUAUAUAAGGAAAAUGAUGAGGACAACCAUUUAGCAUUUUCCAAUUCUUUUGCUUAAUAUAUAUUUUUUCAUCGCCUUUUUUCUUAAUAUUUUUAUUUCAUUUUUUAAUAUUUUUUAAGAACUAAAUAUGAUCUUAAUUAUCAUAAUUAUUAUAUUUAAAAGGUCUACCCAUUUUUGGUAUAGCGUGUCAUGUAUGCAAAACCUUAGUUGUAUUACAAAAGGGAUUUGUAUGCAUUAAUAUCACAACAAGAAAAGUGAGAUAUGGUCACAUAGUUUUUUUAAGAGGGGUCAACAAAAUUCACAAUGAAAGAGUGUAUAUAACCUCACUACUAUUUGAGCCACAAUAGUAGGAAUUCUCCCACCAAGCUUAUAGUUCCAGGAUUAAUCGGAUACAACCAUAAAACCUCCUAUUGUUGAGGGAUAAAAUUGGUCGCUAUAAUAUAUGGCCCAAUGAAUGCAAGUUGGUCACUACAAUAAAACCAAUAUAUAAAUUCCCUACCAUUUCUCUUUUGCUCACCCUUGAUUGCUAAACUCAUUUCUUCUUUCAUCAUUGCUAGUCCAAUGUGAGAUUAAUCUUUAAUCAUGAAUUUUUUUUUCUCAAUGAUCACUCAUUGUGGGACGUAGCUUGAUGUUUUUUUAUUCACACAUUGCCCUCUCAUUAUUGUCAUUUUAUUUUAUUAUGAUUUCACUCUCUCAUUAUCUACUGUCUAAUUUUCUAGGAUUUUGAAUUGCUAGGUUUCGAGUUAUCACAAGAUUUGAAGGCUUUUCAAGCAUGACUUCUCCAUCAUUUUUCUCUUUUCUAGGGUUUUCUAGUUGAUUUCUCCUUUUCCAUUUUUGGGUUUUAUUUCUCUUCAUGUUUUGUGAUUUUCUAGCUUUCUAGAUUUUUUUUUUUAAUUUUUAUAUUAAAAUGUGAGAGGUGAUUGAUGCAUAGGGAAAUCUAGAUUUCAUAAAAUUGUUGAAAAGUAUAUAACUCUAUUUUCCAAACAAAAACUCCUUUGUUUGCCAAAAAGAUGAGGUGAAAGUUGAAGUAGAUAAGAAGUACAGGGAAGGGAGGGGAGAAGGAGGGGCCAUCAACCAUGUAUAGAAUGAGAAAACUUGAGAAGAGUGGGUUGUGUAUUUGAGGGGUGAGGGGUUAGUAUUCUCUAUACUUACUUUGGCCAUAUGUUUUUUCUUUGUCCUAUUUGGUUCUAGAUAUUUUUUUUACUAUGAAUUACUUCUAACAUAGUAAAAAUAUUUCUACCUAGCUUAACUAGUUGUGUUGAAUUCAAACAUUACAAUGACUAUGAGAAUGUGGAGUGAUAGGUAAGAUAAGUAGCUAUUAUAUCAACAAAUGAACUAAUUAAGGUGCAUUUGAAGUGUAGUAGAGUACUUAUUAGCUCAAAAACACAUAAAAAACUUGAUAAUUUUGAAAAGGCGACAAAUGACUAAUCAGUUCAAAAUUGAGAAACUAAUUACUUUUGGAGAGGUACAACUAAAACAAAUAGCUACUAAAGAUGUACAAAUUGAAUAAAUAACCCCUGAAAGACACAUAUAGAAAUAGCCCCUAAAGAGAUACAAUUUGAACAAAUAGCCCUUUACUUCACUAGGGUUUUUCUUAAUGGGUGUUUUGUAGUUCUGAGAUAUAUUUUUAUGAUCAUCCAAGAUGGAGUGUUAAUAAAAUAUGAGAAUAUGGAAACUUAUGAAUGAUCAUCUAUAUUGAUGUAAAUCUCUUCAUAACUCUCUAUAAAAAGGAAGACCUAAUAUUGAAAGGAUAUUUAAUUCUAUAAGAGAAUUUCAGUUUCUUCUUCUUGUAAUUCUUCUAUUAUAUAACAAAACUUAUUUUUUUUGUAUAUUACACCUAAUUUUCCUUUUUAUUUAUCUAUUCCUUAACCUUUAAUUUUCCCACAUAUCUUAAAAUGGCCUUGCAUCAAGCAUAAAUUAGCUAAAUAGUAAAAUAAUAGGUAUAAUAUAUUUAUAUCACUAUGGUAUAAACUUAUAGUACGUUUAUGUUUGGUUUUACAUUAAAAAAUAUAAAAAUAUAUAAUUAAAAUUAGUUAAAAGUGAUGUCUUUUAAAAUUAUUUCAUCUUUAUAUAAAAUAUUUAAAAUAUGUAAAAAAAAAAGGAUUGAGUUUGAAAUAACAUAUAAAAAUACAGAUCCAAAUUGAUUCCAUUCAUUCUCCUUUCCUUUUGUGAUUUUGCAUUAAAGAAACUCAUCCCAACAACCUCACAAAUAAUGCUUAUGAAAAAAUAAAAUAAAAUUAAAGGCAUGAUGAAGUGAAAAGAGGAACAUCCCAAUGAAUGGAGCAGAGAGCAAAGUUCUUGUCUUGAUUUCCAGUUGAUGCUUUUUCCCUGUUUUAGCUCCUUAAACUCUGUUCCUUUCAACUCUACAGCAAAAUCCUCUAAAUUUUCACCUUCUCUCCUCCAAUGCUCUCUUGGAUUUAUGAAAAUACUCCCAUUAGUUUCCUAAGAGUCAAGCCUUUUCGCUAUUUUUUUUUUCUCCCAUGGAUUUUAAUAAUUUUCCAACCUAUACUUUUAGUCAAAUAAUAAAGAGAAAAAAUAAAUAUUGAAUUUAAAAUAAUAAAAAGGCUACAAAUUCAUUAAAUGUAUUUUAAAAAUAUUUUUAAUUUAAAUUUAACUACUUUUUACCUUCAAAGUUUUAAUGAUAAAGUGUUUUUAAGUUAUACUGUUGCUUUCUUACUCUAUCUUUCUCUAUUUUCAGCUUUCUUACCCUAUCUUUCUCUAUUUUCAUCCGUCAACCUUGGAAAAAGACCUGAUUUUGGAUAUUGUCUUUACUUCCUUAUCUCUUAAUCUAUGUUAAUUACAUAAUUGUGUAAAUAAUUAAUUUAAGAAAAAAGUUUUUUUUCAUUACUCAUGACAUGAAAUGAUAAAAAUAAAAUAAAAUAAAGUAAAAAAGUAAUUAUAUGAAUAGCAUAUGAAAGGUUAAUCUCUUCUUAUGAAGGUAUAUGAUUAUAGUAAUGGAAUGUGAAAUCCAUUCCAUCUUCAACCUGCAUGAGAUUGUAUUAUUACAUGCCAAAACCUAUUUAUAGCCAAAGAGAAAAACAAUCUAAGCUACUUCUCGGGACGUACCCAUGGGAGCACUUUUUUUUGUUGUUGUUGUUUCUUUAUGUUGGGACCAAACACGGGUUCAAAUCUUCCUGCACAGAGGUUGGAAAUCUUGCCAAGAAGCCUACAAUUUUGAAGGUUGGGCUUAGGAUUUUGGAUCAAAACUUUCAUAUAUCUUCAAUGGUAUCACGGGGUAUGGUGCUUAAGCCAAAAUCAUUUCUGGAUCAACUUCUACUUUUGACAGUCCUUUCAAAUUAGAGAGAGAAUAGUCUUGUGCACUAGAGUAACUUAUACACAUGGCCCCAUUCAAUCAAUUUCAUAGUUCUAUGAUUUAAAAAUUCCAAUUUAUUUUCUUUUUCUUUACAUUAAUUUUCUCAACAAAUAAGCAGUUUAUCAUCUUCUACUUUUAUGAAAUCAACCAAAAUCUCAAACAGAGCACCUACAAAACCACAAAAAAGGAAAGGGAUCGAAAAAGUGAAAAACUACCAAUUCGAGCUUUCUUUGACAAGAUAAUCAGAGCUUGGAGUGCAAGUUUGUAGACAUGGAAGCUCGUGUGCAGUGGAAAAGAAGAAAAUGGCUGGUCAUGAUCCAGCGAUGCACUAAUCGAGGCUUGUGGGGAUUGGAGAAGAUUGUUGUGUCUUCCUUUGAGCUUUUGCAUUUUGGUUUUUGAAUUUCGUGGAGAUUAAGGGAUAGUUUCCUGGAAAAGGAGGUUGGAGAGAAAUAAUUGAUGAUGUUGCCAAACAAUCUUUACAAAUAACAUCUAUUUUUGCAUUUUUCUAUAAGAAUUUUACCAAGUGGUUGUGCAUAAUCUCAUGGCUCCACGACUCCCAAGUCCCAAACAAUCUAAUGAAGUGUGUAGAGUGAGAAACCAGAAAGAAAUUAAAUAUAAUCAAAAUACAUGAAAAGUUAACAUAAUAUUUCAAAUAGAAAUAAAAUAAUAUCUUGAGAGGUAGACUCAAACAAUCACAAUGCACAUUUGGACUUGGCCAUGUUUAUAACAUUAAAAUUUUUAAAUACAAUUAUAUAUAUAAAAAAAAAAGGAAGAAAAAAGGAUUUUACCUGUAAUAAGAUGAAUGCCAUGGGAGCUCAAAUCUCGUCUUGAAUUUGUGUGGGUUGAAAAUAUGGAGUGAGGUUGUGCAUAAUCACUUGAUCCUCCCAAUCCAAACCAUCCCACCAUUCUUUUUGUCCACGGAUUUGCUCUAAUUUCUUGCUUAUUCCAGUGUUGGAAUCAAAUGGCAGCUUCCUCAAACUUGGACAUUGAAGCACACGGAUGUAUCUUAAAGAUGGAAAAGGUAGGGCACGUCCAUAUAUACUUCUUAGCUUUGGUAGCCAUGUUAAAGUGAGUGAUAUGAGUCUCGAGAAAACACCCAAAUGAUCUACCUCAAUUUCUAAAACUUCACUUCUUUCAUCAUCUAUCACUUUUUCCAUUGAUUCACAGAAUUCAACACUUAGAAAUUGAAGGCUUGGAGCACAAAUAAGCCAUGUCAAAUUCAACAAUUUAUGACAUCGAAAUAUUUUGACAUCACAAAGGUUGUUCAAGCAUGGGUGCCUUGGGAAUUUUGAGUAGACCACCACUUCAUUUUCAAAAUUGAUUUUCACAUCUUGCAAUUCAAAACAAUUUUUAAUAUGGAGGGUCUCUAUAUAAAGGGAUAGUUGGACCAGGUUCAUACGCUCACAAACUAAUUGUAGCCAUCUUGUGGAUCUUUGCAACUUGUGGGAGUUAAAUAAUGUUUGG
rnacentral:lncRNA from 1 species